CAAGUUGGGGUGUGCGUCGUCUGUGUGCAACAACAUCAACGCUGGUAAGCACCUUUUGCUCAGACGGAGAAAACAAUAAUCAUUAAUUAGCGGCAGCUAGAAUCCUAUAAUCUAAUAUAUUUAUAUAUAUAUAUAAUUUUAUCAGCUCUGGGAAAUGAAGAGGCGAACGAUGCCGUUGAGAGUUGCGACCAAGCCUGCUCUAGCUUCUGCAGCGUGCAUGUUGGCAGCGCCACCGUGGUUGCUUAAGCAAAUGCAUGCAACUAGAUCGUCCUUGUGCUGAAUAAUUGGAUAUCGUAUCCACUUAAAGCUGCCUUGUGUAGUACGUCUUUGUUUGUGUCUCUCUUUAUAUUCCACUAAGGUCGGUGAUCUUGAUGCCACACACACUCAGAUGUGUGUUCAUCUCCAGAUACUACUCCAUGCUACCUGCCCUUUUUGUUUUGUUCAAUAACUGGGUAUCAUAUCCCGGCCAGUGUGCCAUCUAUUUUGUGUUUGUUUCCUUCUAGUUCCAAAGGGGUCAUCAUGAUGUUACCUUCUUUCGAUAUGGUGCUUUGCAUGACAACUGUUGUAUGGUACCAUCUUGUUGGCCAAUAAAUACAUCUUAUCCUAUGACCCUUUGCUAUGACCCUUUGCAAAUAAGUACAAGAUUGUUAUAAGCGUCAAUACUCAGUAUAAUUGAUCGCUGCUGUGAGUUCCCUUUCAGCUUAUCGUAGGCACACAUUAUUGCUAGCACGGUAAAGACAACCAACACGAAUGAUGAAGUAAACGUAGCGGUACUUUUGUAUACCAACACCCUUACUUAAAUGUACUGGUGUCAUUCCCUACUGGCACAUAUAUUCUUAUAUGCUAGCCAGAUUGGAAAAUUAACCAAUUAAAAUAAUUAUUUCAAGAUAGAAAUAACUUAUCGGCUUCUCGAAGCAUGUGUAAUUUUAAUUCAAGGACUCAAUGGAAGUUGAAUCACUUCAUCUAGAUUGCCUUCUGGAUUUUGGUUAACUAAAUUUAACAUUUGUGUCGGGGGGAAAUAUUAACGAUUUUCUUACGCUCUCUAAUUAACGGAUACAAGGGCUAGGGCCCACCCCUAAUACCCAUAAUCUCCGCUAACAACACAUCCCAGAGGCACUCCGCUCCGCCUCGCCCGACUUCAGGGUCGCAGGGUCGGACGUGCCCGACCCCCCAAGGCCUCGCCUCGUCUCAGCCGAUGGAGUUCCGCCUCGCCCGACCCUGAGCCCAACGGAUCGGACGCGCCCGACCCCUCGAAGCAGGACUCCGCCUCGCCCGACCCUGAGCGCAAGCGGUCGGACGUGUCCGGUCCCACCUGACAGAGCUCCGCCUACCCGAAGGUACGAGCAGGUCAUCAGACGGAAGCGCGGGCUCUGUGAGUCCCCCUGGGCUCACCCAACCGAUGGGACCGCGCAAGCUUCCAGAUACAGUUCUGACACAUGGAGAGGCGCCCGCGUUCCUCGACAUGACCUGUCAAAAUGUUGGUCUGCGCACUGCUGCCACGACUGCACAGGGCUACACCUGCACCGUCCUACCCCACUGUGACAUCUGUCAUAGGGCACUCAUCGCUCAUACCAUCUAAUGGAGGAGGGAAAACCGCCUAGUUUUCCACGUGGGCUAGCAAGAAGAGCACGUCAGCCACGCCGCCCCGUCAGGGUGCAUGGCUACAGUGGUUGACCAUCACCCGCGACGUGCACAGUCACAGUGGCCAGUCGUCACCACCAACUUGCACAGCUACAGUGGUCGGCCGCCAUGCACGACUCGCGUGUCCGGCUACAGUGACCGACCGCCGAGUCACCGAUGGGACCCAACGGCAACCCCUAUCCCUUAGUAGCAGUACCGACAAGACGCAGAGACAAGAAGGGAAGACGACGUCUCUAGUAGCCCCACUUGCUUCCCUUUUUACCUUUCUACCUGUUUACCUUCCUUACUCCCGGCUCAUUUGUAACCUCUGUAUCCUCCUUGCACUAUAAAAGGAGACCAGGGGGUCUGAGGGCAAGGGACCCUCGGAGACCGAACCCCGAAUUCACCCAAGUACAAACCAACCGAACCACCAGACGAGAAAGACUCACAGAGAUCUGGGAACCAGCUUCCCUCUCUCACCUAUUUGUAGCCUCUACUCCAGACUUGGUACGAGUAACACGAGCAGCCACCCGCACUGGACUCCUCCGCCAGAAACUGGUCCAACCAGUCGGGUCCCUCCCCCUGCUCUUCGUCCUCAUCAUCCUCAUCAUCGUCGUCCUCAUCCGUUGCCGUGUCUGGCCCCUCCGCAGCCUUCAGAACUCCGCUGCAGCUUUCUUUUUCUUCCUCACCGUCUCCUUGUCCUUCCUCUUCUUCUGUGCUUCGUCGAGGAGGCGGUUCCGCUGCCUCUGCACCACGUCCUCUGGCACCGGUGGACGGGAGGCUGUGACAUGGUUUAAGUUACCCUGCAGAUUCGAAGACUCCGCGUCAGAAUAGCAAACCAGGAAAUGCAGGAAAGAAGAACGAGAGUGCAAAUUUCUAACCAGCAGGACAUAGGCCUCGUCCGGGCGCAUCGGAGGGUGCCCCGGCACCGGGAACACGACAUCCCUGUCACCCAAUGCAUCCCGGACACGCUGCUCGAUCUCGGCGUCGGCAAUUGCACCCGUCGCAAGGACGGUGCUGUGGUACGCCCCAACAACUCCGGCCCCGGUCAGGCCCUCCUCCUUCAGAAGGUUGAUGGCUUCGAGGAGACCCCGGAUAUUCUUCUUCUCCUUCUCAACAGGGCCAUAUGUCCACGUUCCCGGUGCCUCCACGAUGACGCGGCCAGUGAACUCCGUCAAGAGGACAUCGGGGCGGUUCUUCACAUAGAGCCACUGCUGAUGCCACCCUUUGUGGGAUGACGGGGUCUUCAUCGAUGUAUACUCCUUGGGCCGAUGGCCACAGAGGUGGAUGCCGGCACACCCCAUCAGCAUCGGAAUCGUCCGCGUCUGGUUUCCUCUCUUCUCGGUCCUCUGAUGAAGAGUGACAGCGAAGAAGUACUUCCACAGGGCGAAGUUGGGCUCGAUCCCCAGGUAUCCCUCCCAAAGCACGACGAACGCCGCGAUGUGCUGGAUUCCGUUGGGGUUGAGGUGCUCCAGCUCAAUGCUAUAGUAGUGCAGCAGCCCCCGGAAGAAGCGACUUGGGGGAACCGCGAACCCCCUCUCGUGGAAGUGCGCGAAGGAGACGAUGUACCCGUCCUCCGGCUGUAGCACGGCCUUGUUCCCGGGAUACCGCCACUCGUUCUCGGCGAUCCUAUCGCGAAGAAGGCCCUUCUUCACGAGACCGAUCACGCGCGCGGUGUUGAAGAUUGACCAAGACCUUGAAUCCAUCGCCGAGGAAGGGGAAGGCUCGACGGCGGUGGUGGAAAGGUGAAUGCUCUGGCUCGAAAGAGGAUGAAAAGUGAACAAGGAGGCGAGAAAGGCUGAAGACGAGUGCGGAGCGGAGCAAGCAAGGUAAGCUCUCUCGUUUUACAGGGGGCGUGCGAGAAACGAAAGGCGAACCGAACGCAUUUAUUGCGACGUCAGGUAUGCCCCAUCGCCUCCGCCUUUCUUCGGAAACCGUACGCAUGAUUUCUUUUUAACCGCAGGGAACGCUACGCCCCCUCGCCCCACGAGCCCGGUGUUUUUUGCCGCUUCGUCUCCUGGAGGUCAUGCGCACAACUUCCUCCACAAGCGGCCCAGGGCCCGCUUCAGGUAAAAAAGGGAUACAGAGCUGAAAACACUCUAACGGCCCAUUACGGUCCAGGGGUUCGAAGGCUGGCCCUCUAGAGGGUUCGACAUCCACCCCAGGACAUUUCUUGAGCAAGGGGUGAGAAGGGACGGGUCCGCUAGCGACCACUACCCUGGUGAACAAAAGCCAAGGGCGUCCCGACCUCACAUUUGAGUCUCGAUUGGCGUUUAAGUUCAUGGUUUUUCCCCGAAGAAAGGCAAAGUGCCCCCGGAUCCGGUUGAACAGACCUGGGAACUAUAUGAACUGGCCGUCCGAAAUCUGGAGUACGCCACCAGCUUGGCCCAAGCCGGACCCGCCCGAACAGGGACCGGGACUCCACUCGAACUGACCCGUUAGCAGCUCACCGAGCACCAUGGUUCGUCCGAUGAGGAUAACAUGGCACGGCUCACCCCCUCCGUCCCAACGAACGGACGCUGAGGGGUAACGACUAAAAGACGAUCCGACCUCUCGAUCGGUCCCCUGCAAUGCGCGGGGGCUCGAGGGCUGGAAUCACAACGAAACGACCAUGCGCAUGGUUACGACUCGGAAUUUUGAGGCAGGAAUGGUCAUUGAAACAAUAGGGAAUCUUCCCAAACCGUACCAUCCUCAGAACACUCUGGCUACCCAAAACUCCCCGGCCAGGCCAAACAAGCAAAACUUUUCUCCUGAUCAAAUCAAGGUACAUGUUAAACAAGACCCCUGACAAACACUCUGCCGAGAGCCAAUCACAGCCUCUGGAGGAGCACCUUGCUCCACCAAAGGCUCGGGGCCUACUGUCAGGGGGAAAUAUUAACAAUUUUCUUACGCUCCCUAAUUAAUGGACACAAGGGCCAAGGCCCACCCCUGACACCCGUAAUCUCCACCAACAACACAUCCCAGAGGCACUCCGCUCCGCCUCGCCCGACUACAGGGUCACAGGGUCGGACACGCCCGACCCCCCGAGGUCUCGCCUCAUCUCAGCUGAUGGAGUUCCGCCUCACCCGACCCCAGGCGUAAGGGGUUGGACGCGCCCAACCCCUCAAAGCAGGACUCCGCCUCGCCCGACCCCGAGCGCAAGGGGUUGGACACAUCGGAUCCCACUAGACAGAGCUCCGCCUCGCCCGAAGGUAUGAGUAGGUCAUCAGACGGAAGCGCGGGCUUUAUGAGUCCCCCCAGGCUCACCUAACCGAUGGGACGCGCACAAUUCUAGAUACAGUUCUGACACGUGGAGAGGUGCCCGCGUUCCUCGACAUGACCUGUCGGAAUGUUGGUCUGCACACUACUGCCACGACUGCACAGGGCUACAACUGCACCGUCCUACCCCACUGUGACAUCUAUCAUAGGGCACUUAUCGCCCAUGCCGUCUAACGGAGGAGGGCAAACCGCUUGGUUUUCCGCGCAGCCUAGCAACUACAGCACGUCAGCCACGCUGCCCCGUCAGGAUGCAUGGCUACAGUGGUUGACCGUCGUCCGCGACGUGCACAGCUACAAUGGCCAGUCGUCACCACCAACUUGCACAGCUACAGUGGUCGGCCGCCAUGCACGACCCGCGUGUCCGGCUACAGUGGCCGACUGCCGAGUCACCAAUGGGAUCCAACGGCAACCCCCAUCCCUCAGUAGCAGUACCGACAAGACGCAAAGACAAUAAGGGAAGACGGUGUCUCCAGUAGCCCUACUUGCUUCGCUUUUUACCUUUCUACCUUUUUACCUUCCUUACUCCUGGCUCAUUUGUAACCCCUGUGUCCUCCUUGCACUAUAAAAGGAGACCAGGGGGCCCGAGGGCAGGGGACCCCCGGAGACCGAACCCCGAAUUCACCCAAGUACGAACCAACCGGACCACCAGACGAGAAACACUCACAAAGAUCUGGGAACCAGCUUCCCUCUCUUGCCUGUUUGUAGCCCCUACUAUAGACUUGGUACGAGUAACACGAGCAGCCACCCGCACUGGACGUAGGGCUAUUCCUGCCCGAACCAGUAUAAACCUCGCGCCCUCUCGUACAACCAUCCAAGCCUUACGCGUAGAGAAACAAAUUUACUAAGCCGGUAGUCUUGACCCGUGAUUCGUGAGACCGACAAUUUGCACAUACAAAUGUUAAAGUACAAAUGUUAAAUCUAGUUACCAAGCAGAAUACGAAAUAGCGGGCUAUAGUGAGGCUAUAGCGGCGCUAACUGCUGCAACAACAGUGUUGUACUAAUUAGCAGGCUAUAGCGGAGCUAUAGCGGUUGAGCACAGCUCUACGCUAAAUAUCAUAGCCCUCAAUUUUGUACAUUGUAUAUACUAUAUAAAUCUAGUUAACAUUUAGUCUAAAUGUUAAAUCGAGUUACCUAAAAUCCUGAAAGCAAAAUGUAUAAAUAUAUAUCUUUUAGGGUAGUAUAAGCUUCGAUUCCUUUUGCUGCUCUGUUAAAUCUCAUCUUUCGUUGUAGCCCAACACUCUAGUAUUGAUUUUGCACCAAGCUUCUUUGAGCCGCUCUGCCCUCUGAUUUUGCUGCGUAGGGGAAUCUUUAUCAGGUUGGGCUACUUCCAGUCGUGCGAUGUAUACCUUUGUAUCUUCUAGAAGGUAGACAGAAAACCCGCGUUCUCUUAAGGCAACAACCAGAAGAUUCUGCAGCGCACGGGGCAUAUCAUUGUUGUAGAAACGACCUUUAGUAUCGAUCUCCAACCCCUUAUAGUACUGGUUUUGCAACCAGUACCGUUAUGUCGGACCUUUAGUACCAGAUCAAAUAACCGGUUCUAAAGGGACUCCUUUAGUACCGGUUGGUAACCAGUAUCAACUUGUUUUGCGGCCAAAAAAAUAAAGAAAAAAAUAGCCAGAAGGCUAGCACACACACACAUCCCACGAAAUAUGCGCGUGCGCGGUCCAUGGGAUUCGAACCCAUGAAAUCAAGCUGCGCGCAACCCUUCGUUACCAUCUCACCUUCAGUACCGGGUCAUAACACCACCCGGUACUAGUAUCGGAUGCUGUAAUGACUCGAUACUAAAAGGCCUCUAGGGACCCUCAAAUUUGGACCCGAUACUAAUGCUAACAUUAGUACCGGGUCAAAGUGCAGCCAGUACUAAAGCAUGGGACGAAAGGUCAUAUUUCUAGUAGUGUAUAGUUGUUGUGUAGGACUGACUUGGCUGUCCUCUCUCUUCUCCAUCCCAUUGGUCUUACGCCGCCGCUCGCACGCGAGCCGGCACCCAACCAGAGGAGUGAGAGCUAGGGGCGGGUUGGGAGGUGGGGGUAGCGACUGGUGGCUAGGGUGAUGGUUGAUGUUGGCGGGGUUAGGGUUUCAUGGUUUUCAAGCUACCUACGGCCGGCGAACCUAGAGGAGGAGGUCGACAUCAGCUGCAACCCGCGGUGGUGGUGGUUUGGCCGGCGCCCCAGGCGAGGCAGCGUGGGAGUGCUGCUGGCGGGUUGGUGUUGGCGCUCAUUAUUGACACAUUUUUAGUACUAUUUUGUUCAUGGAAUAACACUCAAACGUGCUGGUGCUGCUGCCGCCAUCGCCGCCCUAGCCAUAAUAUAAAGGCAAAAUUUGCUAGAGGACAUGCAAAAUGAUGCUAGUUUGCUGGAGGGCACCGUUGACCAUGUAAUAUGCUACAAGACACUCUAGUUGUUCUAGAGUGUAUCAAUUUGCUGAAAGACAUUGCUACGACUAAAAUAAUGUUUCUGGACUGAGUUGGAGAGAGAGAUGGAGUGAAAUGUCUGUUUUGCCCAUGACCCCACUGAUCAGAUCCUUCUUCUUCCACCCUCCUUUCUUCUUUCUUCAACCAUUACCCAGCUCUAGUGUGUUGCAGAUCUACGAGGGUGGCGGCCCGGGGCGAGGGGCAUCGCUUGCCCUCAGACGAGCGCCGCGAGCGACGGCGCGGGGGCAGCAACGGCGCGUCGGAACCUGACCGUUCGUUAGCUCCUCUCGCUGCUGGGGAAGGAGGGGGAGGGGCCAUGGACGGGGUUCCCUCGAAAACCUUAGCCUCGAGCUCAGGCGGCUACGCGCAGGCAGCACUAGGCUCUUCGCGGGGAGGGGGCGCGGCCAAUCAUUGGCACCCCACUGGUCCAAUGCUGAUGAAGAUGGUGCCAGCGUCGUGAAGAUGGUGCCAGCGUCGUGUGAGGACCUCUCAUCUCCUCGAGUUCCAUGGCCAGCACAGGUGAGCGUCCGCUACCACAAAACAGAGGUGUCGUGAGAGUCAAAAAAACUCAUGAAAAUAGCUAAAACCAUCAUGAAAAUAAUCCAUGACACGACACUCUAACGAAAAUCCUCUCACAAAUAUGGUGCCAUCAAAAUACCAUUUUCAUGAGAGUGAACUGUCAUGAUUUUAUUUCGUGAGAGUAUUUCCUAUCAAUGACCUCCACGAAAUACUUUGUGCCACCAGGUCUUCAAGAUCAUUUUCAUGAGAGCCGAACGUCACGAAAGGUCCGCCACAAAUGUUUUUCCUGGGAGCCUCUAACUCUCAUCAAAAGCAUGUGGGCCGCCGCGAAAAACAGCCUGACCAAAUGACAAUUUUCAUUUUCAUGUGCUCUUACCGCCAUGAAAAUGGUCAUUUUCAUGAGAGUUGAUGAAACAAAAAAAUAGUGCCAUUUUCAUGAGAGUUCAAGCAACCAGGAAAAGGCACUAAUAAACAUCCAGAUCCCAUCCAGCACACAUCCAUGCACAUAUAUAACCCACAUAUUGCUCCAGCAACAUCCAUGCAUAUACAAGAUCCAAAUGUCUUGGUAUGAACCUACAUGCAUGUGAUGAACCAGUAACCUGCAAAAAGAGCUCAUAGGAUCUUGUCCUCAUAUUGUAGCUGUGAAAUUCUUGCAAGUAGUGUUGCAAUCAGUUCACUUUGAACCAAAAGAGCUCAAAGGAUCAUGUCCUCAAAGUUCCUCUUAAAGCUUAUGGGUUUGCUGGUGGAACUGGAAGGGCUUGAUGCAGCAUGCCAUUCUGCAAUAGAGAAAAAUUUAGAAAGCUGUACUAGUUAAAAUUGGAUGCAGCAGAGACACAUGAAACUAGUAUUUAUACAAUUCUAUAUAUAUAAUAAUUUGUCCCCUAAAUUUUUAGGAUCCUCUCGACGGUGGUGAGUCUUCCAGUAAGGCAAUUGAAUGUCCAUCGUGAUAAAAUUCUCCUUUGGAUUUAUCAUCUUCUCAACCAGAAAUCCUAGGAGUUCAUCCUUAAGCCUUACCAGUUGUAAUUUGGAAAUAUGUGAAAGUUAAACGAACAAUUAAAAUCUAAGGAUCCUUAUCAUCAUUUCCAUACGUUUGCGAAUUAAAAUAAUGAAGGAUACAAUGUUAGGUGAAAAUUCAAGAAACAAAAUUUUGUAUAGAGAUAAUGGUCCGACAUUAUUACAAGUUAAAGUUGUUUUAAAUAUCCUUGUAAUCUUCCUUUGGUUUCCUCGACGAUUCCAAGACAGUAACCUUGCUUCUAUCAAUGAUAAUUAUAAGGAGAACCCAAUGAAAACUGUGUAUUCAUAUUAGAACUAACUAAGGUUAAUUCGGAUAGGAAAGGAAAUCAAAAAUAGAUGGUACCCACACUUACUUAAAGUUGUAGGGUAGUAGUAUGUAAUGCUUGUAAUUCUGUUGCUCCAAGAAUUUGUAUAUGUGGUUCAAUGUAGACUUUGGUUGAUCCUGUAUCUGCUGUUGGUUGAAUAAGUGUUUCUAACCAUUUCUAGCCGUUAGAACUGGGACUAAAGGGAGCUCUUAGUGCUGGUUGAUAUUACUAGUCGGGACUAAAGAGCCCCCGUUAGAGUUGGUUUUCGGACGUGGAACUAACCACUCCUUUAGUCUCAAGUCCAAAAAUGAUUGAGACAUUUGUUGCUGGAUGGAACACUAGUAGAGAAUUGGCUUUCGAUGCGCCCCCUUUUGUCCCGGUUUAAAGUUGGACUGGGACAAAAGAGGGUGCGCCACGGUAGGUAAAAAUGGAGGGGGGAGUUAGUCCCGGUUGGUAAUUGCAACCGGGACUAGAGGCCCCCCUUUAGUCCCGGUUGCAAUGGCUAGCUGGGGGGCGUCGGUGGCGGCACCUUUUUGUCCCGGUUGGAGUCUCCAACCGGGAUAAAAGGUCCACCCUUUUAUCCCGGUUGGAGGCUCCAACCGGGACAAAAAGUUUAGUCCCGGUUGGAGCUUCCAACCGGGAUAAAAGGGUGUCCCUUUUGUCCUAGUUGGAGCCUCCAACCGGGACUAAACUUUCAACCGGGACAAAAGGUGUGGUUGGAGUUUUUAACUGGGAUAAAAACUCAUCCCCCAUUAUAUACCAAGACAGAGGACUUUCUUCCUCCUCCAGCCCGAGCCAGUCCAGCACAUUCACAGAGAGUUGACCUUCACCUACUCUCCGGUGGUGCCGAAGCAAGGAGGUGCUGCCCGAAGUUUUUUCCCUCAUUUUCGUGGGAAUUUCACUCAGCUAACACAAGUGUUGUGAAGGUUUGCUACUUCAUCCUCGUUUAUGCUUUGAUUUAUGCUUUGGAGAUGGAAAGAUUAUUUGUUAGAAUGUGAUGAAGUAGAAAAUGGAGAGAAUAUUUUGAGCUAGAAUGUGAGGGAGAUUGAUGUGUCAUAUAUAGUAUGCAUUCUUGCAGUGGUUUAAGAAUGAUGCUACCUUGUCCAGACAAUUUAUCUUAUCAAAUUCAAUAUAGUUUUUCAAAUCCAUACUUGUUGAACUUGCAUACCGUGUUCAUCUCUACGAGGAUAUUCUCUGCCGAGCAGCAACGUAUGUCAAGAAGGAGGUUCGAUUCUACGAGGAAGAGUGGAUACGGACAUCGUGACCGUGUCCCCUUUUCCGUAGCAUCUAACCUCUUUCAUGAUGAAGUGCGGUGCCGCCCAGUUGAGAACAUGCUCGCGAGAUGAACACAGUAUGCAAGUUCAACAACUUCUGCAGUAGUAAGGAAAGAAUUUUUGUACAUAGAUGACUUCUGCUACUUGUUGAACUUAUCAAAUUCAAGAAGGUUUUUCAAAUCCAUACUUGUUGAACUUGCAUACCGUGGUCAUCUCGCAGAGGAUGUUCUCCGCCGAGCAGCAACGUAUGUCAAGAAGGAGGUUCGAUUCUACGAGGAAGAGUGGAUACAGACAUCGUGACCGUGUCCCCUUUUCCGUAGAAUCGAACCUCUUUCAUGACGAAGUGCGGUGCCGCCCAGUUGAGGACAUGCUCGCGAGAUGAUCACGGUCUUUAAGUUUAACAACUUAUGCAGUGUUAAGGUAAUAAUUUUUGUACAUAGAUGGCUUCUGCUACUGGAGAAAGUGGCGAUGGUGGGGGUGAUCGUGGUUCCUCUUUCGGCAAGGGGAAAAUCAUAGUUGGCCCUCAGCAUAAGCCAAAGAAAAAGAGCGCACUGGAAAAAGCAAUGCUUCGUUAUUUGCAGCAACGUCAUGAAGAAGUUGUUGCCGCGGGUCAGGAACCUCCUUUUGGUCGUCGUUAUGCUCCACCCUUAGUCCCGGGUGUUUCACAUCCACUUAGUACUACCGUUUCAGGCGGCACAAAUAAACCUAAGGAUGAGGCUAGGUCAGCGGAACUUUCGUCUUCACUGUCCAAGGAUGCUUAAAGUCCUCCUAGAUAAUAACCAGUGGAUGGCUUGUUGUAUUGUAUCAUGUUGUUUGGAUCUUUAAUUUAAAUAUGUGUAUUUGGAUCUUCAUGUUGUUGUAUUGUACCAUGUUGUUUGGAUCUUUAAUCAAUUUUCACACGUAAUCCAUUGUCAAGUGUAAUCCAUUUUCAUGCAUAAUAAGAUGCAGAUGGACCGGCAAUGGAUGUAUAAUGCAGACAGGCAGAGCAAGGUGUUUAUUGAUGGCUUGCAUUAUUGUCUCGAAGUGGCCAAAGCGAACAAGCCAGAGAAUGGGUUCGUAUGUUGUCCAUGCUUCCAAUGCAAUAACAAGAAGGAGUAUUCAUAGGAUUCCUGGGGGACUAUUCACAGCCACUUGUUUAAAUACGGUUUCAUACUUAACUAUUUGGUUUGGACCAAGCACGGUGAACGAGGGGUCGUAAUGGAAGAUGGCGAGAAGGAGGAGGAAGAUGACACCAUUCCAGACUGGGUUGUAGGCCAAGCUUUUGCAGGUACUACAAUGGGCGAGGCUCAUGAAGAUGAGUUUGCAGAAAAUGGCCCUAUUGAUGACUUUGGUCAGGUGAUACGAGAUGCAUACAGAGAUUGCGAAAUUGAGAAGGAAGCAGCAAAGUUGCAGCGCAUGAUAGAUGAUCACCAAAAAUUAUUGUACCCAGGUUGCCAGCUGGGCCAUAAAAAACUAGGUACGACACUAGAAUUUGUGCAAUGGAAGGCAAAAAAUGGUGUGUCCGAUAAGGCAUUUCAGGGGAUGUUGACCAUUGUCAAGAAGAUUCUUCCCGAGAAUAAUGAAUUACCGUCCACAACAUAUGAAGCUAAACAGAUUAUUUGCCCUCUCGGAUUGGAUGUUCAGAAGAUACACGCAUGCCCUAAUGACUGUAUCCUCUAUCGUGGUGAUGACUACGAGAAAUUGGAUGCUUGUCCCGUGUGCGAAGCCCUGCGGUAUAAGAUUAGGUGAGAUGAUCCUUGUGAUGUCGAGGGGCAGUCUCCCAAUAAGAGAGUUCCCGUGAAGGUGAUGUGGUAUUUCCCUAUAAUACCACGCUUGAAGCGCUUGUUCAGGAAAAAGGCGAAUGCUAAGUUGAUGUGAUGGCACAAAGAAGACCGUAAGGAAGAUGAGAUGCUGAGACACCCCGCAGAUGGGGCACAGUGGAGAUCAAUUGAUAGAGCAUUCUCGGACUUUGAAAGUGAAGCAAGGACAUAAGGUUUGGUUUAAGUACUGAUGGAUUCAAUCCAUUCGGUGAGUUGAGUAGUGGCCAUAGUACUUGGCCUAUGACCCUAUUUAUGUUGAACCUUCCUCCUUGGCUAUGCAUGAAGUGGAAGUUCAUUAUGAUGCCGGCGCUUAUCCAAAGUUCAAAACAACCCGACAACGACAUUGACGUGUACCUAAGACUGUUGGUUGAUGACCUUUUACAGCUCUGGAAGGAAGAAGGUGUACGUGUGUGGGAUGAGGAUAGACAAGAGAUCUUUAAUCUACGAGUAUUGUUGUUUGUAACCAUCAAUGAUUGGCCUGCACUGAGUAACCUUUCGGGACAGACAAAUAAGGGAUAUCGGGCAUGCACCCACUGUUUAGACGACACAGACAGCAUGUAUUUGAAGCAUUGUAAGAAGGUCGUCUACAUGGGUCAUCGUCGAUUUCUCCCUGCUCACCACCAGCUGAGAAAGAGCAGGAUGCAUUUCAAAGGGGCGCCAGACCAUCGUAAAAAACCUGCACACCAUAAUGGAAAGUGUGUCUUCAAGAUGAUGAAGGAUGUAAAUGUAGUCUUUGGAAAGGGUCUUGGUAGCCAACCUAUUCCAAACGACAAUAACGGACAUGCACCCAUGUGGAAGAAAAAGUCAAUAUUUUGGGAGCUACCUUAUUGGGAAAUCCUAGAGGUUCGCAAUGCAAUAGACGUGAUGCACCUGACGAAGAAUAUUUGCAUGAACGUGCUAGGCUUCAUGGGUUUUUAUGGGACCUCAAAAGACACAUUGGAAGCACGACAGGACCUGAAAGCCAUGGGGCAACGAGAUGACCUACAUCCGAAAAAGAGAGAUAAUGGAUAGCACUACUUACGUCCUGCCAGUUACACUCUGAGCAAGGAAGAGAAGGAUAGCAUGUUUGAAUGCUUGAAUAGUAUGAAGGUCCCGUCUAGGUACUCCUCGAAUAUAAAGGGAAUAAUAAAUAUGAAAAAAAAGAAGUUUAUAAAUCUCAAGGCCCAUGACUGUCACAUGUUGAUGACCCAGUUGCUUCCGGUUGCACUGAGGGGUGUUCUACUAGAAAAUAUCCAGUUGCCGCUCGUAAAGCUAUGUGCGUUUCUAAAUGCGAUUUCACAGAAGGCAAUCGAUCCAUCCAAGCUAUCAAAGCUACAGAACGAUGUGGUGCAAUGUCUUGUCAGUUUUGAGUUGUUAUUUCCACCAUCCUUCUUCAAUAUUAUGACGCACUUACUGGUUGACCUAGUAAAAGAGAUUGGUAUUCUCGGACUUGUAUACCUGCACAAUAUGUGGCCUUUCAAGUGUUCAUGGCAGUCCUAAAAAACUAUGCUCUUAAUCGUGCCCAUCCAGAAGGAAGCAUCGCCAAGGGAUAUGGAACAGAGGAGGUGAUCGAGUUUUGUGUUGAUUUUAUUGAUUCAAUUGACUCGAUUGGGGUUCCAACUUCACGCCAUGAGGGGAGGCUCCGAGGAAUGGGCACCCUUGGAAGGAAAUCAAGUUUGAGCAAUGAUACUGAUUUGUUCGACAAGGCACACUACACGGUUCUACAACAGUCAUCCUUUGUGUCUCCAUAUAUUGAGCAGCACAGGCAGAUGGUAGUUUCCAAAAACCCGACCAAAUCCGAUGCUUGGCUUACCCGUCUUCACAUGGAAACUUUUCCCUCCUGGUUGCGCCAACAACUUAUGGGUAACUCUGAGAUUCACCCACAGCUUGCCUGGUUAGCCAGGGGACCUGCUAGCACAAUUGUGAAAUUUCAAGGCUAUGAGAUAAAUGGUUAUACAUUUUACACGAGAGCCCAGGACCAGAAAAGCACGAAACCAGAAUAGUGGUGUCCGCAUACAUGCCAUGGACAGAAAUAAUAGCAAGGAGUCGUAUUAUGGUUUCAUAUAGGAGAUAUGGGAACUUGAAUACGGACCGUUGUACAUCCCUCUAUUUCUUUGUAAUUGGGUGAAGCAAACUGCCGUAACCAAAGAUCAGUACGGAAUGACAAUAGUAGAUCUGAGCAAGACUGGAUACAGUGAUGACCCAUUCGUACUUGCCAACAAUGUGCAACAGGUGUUCUAUGUGAAGGACAUGUGUAGCAAACCCAAGAGAAAUCCAGAAGAGACAUGGGAGCCAAAGUGCCACAUAGUUUUUCCAGGUAGAAGAAAAAUCGUGGGAGUCGAGGAUAAAACAAACCAAUCAGAUGAUUAUGAUUAGUUUGAUGGCAUGCCUCCAUUCGCCGUUGAAGUUGAUCCAAGCAUCCUGCUAUCCAAAGAAGAGGCUCCGUACUUACGCCGCGAUCAUGAUCAAGGAACUUUCGUGAAGAAGAAAUUCUACAACGUUGUAUUGUAAUGCGCUAAAUUUACAUGACCUUUGUGUAGUAAUUGAUACAAUUUUUAAUUUACCCUAUGUAUGAUUUGAUGUGUUCUUAAAUUUGUUAGGUGAAGAUUUAUUAGAUAAACAUGAACAAUGUUAACCACAUACAUACAUGGAUUUUUCUGCGCAUUGAAAUUAUUUAAUGGAAUAAUUUCUUGAUCACAGCGAUGUAGUAAAAUAAAUAUUUUAGAGCCUAAAUGAACUGGUAUAGAAUUAAUGACUAACUCACACUUAUUGUCAAUUUACUCGCUAAUUAAAUAUAUUUUUGCAUGUACAAAAUAUGUGAAGGUUUUUGUUUUUCAUCCUGAAUUGCAGUGAAAAGAUAAAUAAAAUCCAUUUCCAAAAAACAGGCGGGAGAAGAAAACUGGGAAAAGGACCUUUUGUCCCGGGUGCCAACAGAAACCGGGACAAAAAGCCCCCCCCCUUUUAUCCCGGUUGGUGGUGGCACCCGAGAUAAAAGGGUAGGCUCCAAGCCCCACUUGGCGGACGCACCCUUUUGUCCCGGGUCCCGUCACCAACCGGGAUAAAAGGGGGGGCCUUUUAUCCCGGUUGGUGAGGGGACCCAGGACAAAAGGCCCUUUAGUCCCGGGUGUCAUUACGAACCGGGAUAAAAGGGGGGUUAAAAGGCACUAUAGCCCCUUCUACCCCCCACGCCAGUUACAGUUAGCAAAAUUUUCACCAAGAUCCCGCGCGCACUCUGCUCCGUCGCUGCCCGUCCGCCUUCCUCGCCAGCCGUCAUCGUCGUCGUCCCCCAUUGCCCCGGCCGUCGUCGUCCCGCCGGCUGACCGUGCCCAGAUAGCCUCCUCCUCCAUCGCCCCGGCCCGCCUCGAUCCUCCUGCGUCGUGCCCGGCCCCUACCUCAUCGACGCCGGCCACCUCCAUCGCGGGGCCUCAUCGCCGCCUCCAUCCUCGUCGCCACCUCGACGCCCUGGGUCGCCGCCUCGUCGCCCCUCGUCGCUGCCUCGUCGCCGUCCUGCCUCCGCCGUCUCGCCGUCCCGCGCGCCUUCGCUCCGUCGUCGCCUCCGCCGUCCCACCGCCCCAGCCACCGCCAUCCCGCCACCCCGGCCACCUCGUCGCCCCGACCACCGUCGACCGCGCGUGAGGUCCGCCGCACCGGCACUGGCGCCGGGAGUACCGCCUUGCUGACGCAAGCCCACCGGCUUGCGUCAACAAGGGCCUUUUUUAAGUUAGAAAAUAAAUAGAAAGGAGUAGUAAUUAGGUAGAAAUUCAAUAGAUUUUUGUAUAUGUGUUACAAAAUCAAAUUAGUGUAAAUUAGUUGUAAUUAGGUUCGUCGCUCUGCCUAGGUUAGAAAUGAAUCGUGUUUCGUCGUGGUUCCGUCCCCGCCUCCGCCGUCCCGCCACCCUGACCGUCGCCGUCCCAACCUAGGCACCGUCUGUGGUUCCGUCCCCGCCUCCGCCGUUCCGCCUCCAUCGCAAAUUCAUGUUAUUGCUAGAAAUUCCAAUAAAUAUGAACAAAUUAGUAGAAAUUUGGUAGAAAUUAAUCAUUGCUGCGGCCACCUCGCUCCACAAAUUCAUGUUAUUGCUAGAAAUUCAUAAAAAUUCAUGUUAUCACUAGAAAUUCGUACAAAAUUCAUGUUAUUGCUAGAAAUUCGUAAAAAUUCAUGUUAUUGCUAGAAAUUCGUACAAAAUUCAUGUUAUUGCUAGAAAUUCGUACAAAUUCAUGUUAUUGCUAGAAAUUCGUCACAAAGUACUACUAAUUUGCAAAAAUUUGUAUAAAUAUUCCGGACUUUGUGGGAUUCAUGUUAUUUUCUGAUUUCAUGUAUAUACCCUUAUGUACAUAUAACUAAGGAGAUUUCUAUGACUUUCAUGUAUGUUUCAAUCAAUAGUUGAAAUGGCAGACGAUGAGACCGCAAGGUAUCUCAUGGAGCAGAUAAUCGCUGGUGAUGGUAGUGGCGACAACCUUCCACUAUCGUACACCGAUGAAGAGGGCACCCAGGCGGACAUGUUCCUCAACAUGUCCGCCGAUGGGAAUGAAGAGCAAAAGCCCCAGCAACACCUUGCCGGGGCGGAAGGUUCCGGCGAGGUAUAUAUAACGAUUCUUGUAUUGUUUCACACCACCGUUACUACUACGUACUAAUUAACGAAUCAUGAACCGUUAGCCCUCUGGAUCGACGCAAGGGCAGAAGACACGAGGUCGUACAAAGGUGAUGGAAGGGAGGCUUGUCAUCACGGAAGUGAUAGAAGAGGGCAGGCCGGUUGCUCCCGAGAAAGUAGCAAAGAAGUACGUGAGUCAGAUCGGGGCAAUCGUCCGGGACAACGUGCCUAUCAGCAUCAGAGAAUGGAAGGGCAGAAGCACUAAUCCGUACGCCCUCCUGGAGACAGAAAGAAUAUGCUGUGGGAAGAUGUCAAGAGACAUUUCACAUUCACCGAAGGAUAUAUUGAGAAGGAUGUGAAAGCGUGGACGCUUAAGAAGAUGGCUACACAAUUUCCAGACAUUUAAGAAGAUGCUAGAUACCCACUACAUUAAGAAGGGCCGAACUCCAGACUUCAACGCGUGGUCAAAGUUGAGGGACCACUAGGAUGCAUUUGUUGAAUAUAAGAGGAGUGAAUACGAUGUGAAAAAGAUCACGACCAACACAACAAAUGCUAGUCAGAAGGGCUACCAUCAUCAUCUGGGGCGAGAUGGUUAUGGCUCAGCAAUUCCCAAGUCGAGGAAGAUGGAACAAGAUCUGAUUGAACGGGGAAUCGUACCGGCAACUAUUGAAUGGCCCGAACGAUCAAAAAAUUGGUACUACGCUCAUGGAGGCUCCCUGUGCCAAGAGGAUGGGACGUUGAUUUUCAAUAACACAAUACGUUAGAAGGCCAAACAUCUUGUGAAGAACAUUGAAGAUUCUAAGGCUGGGAGGUUGAAGGUGGACCGAGAAAAUGAUGAGCUCACAUUGGCCCUUGGUAAUCCAGAGCACCCAGGAUGUUGCCGAGGGUUCGGGGUCGUUCCGUGGAAGUUUGUUUUCCGAGGCGACAGCGCCUCGUACAGAAGCCGGAAGCGAAGAAAGGAACAGAUCGAGGAGAGCUGGUGGCAGAUGCUAGAAUCCAAAGUGCAGGCACAAGAACAAAGAAUGAUGGAGGAAAUCAAUCGUCGAGUGGCCCACGCAGUUGUGGAGUUGGCCCAAUCUGGAGCAUUGCCGAAUCCUAACAACGCCAGCCCUUCUCAAUGCCUCUUGAGCAGUUAUGCUUCUACAGGGGUCCCCGAUGCGCACACGCCCAGGUUACCCGUGGAGGAGCAACGGUUCCCCGUGGAUGCCAUCACGCAACACACCACAUGUGAGCUGCAUGCACCGGUCGGCAACCUCACUAUUAAGGUAUACUUAUACAUAAUAUUUAUGCAAUCUUGUCAAUUGAUCCACGCCUCGAUAUCGGAGUUUAACUUGUUUACUUCUACUAUAUGUACAGGUAGCGUACGGGAGUGCGUUAGCAACCCUGGCGGGGCAGAGCAGUCAUGGCAUGAAGAUUCCACCUGGCUACGCUAGCGUCCGCGUAGAGCAAAUAGUUGAUAGCCAAUAUGAAGGUCUAGAGCUCGACCUCCCGGGAGGUGACAGGGAAAGAACACUGGCAGAUGCGCUUCAUGGGAUCAUUCUAUGGCGAAAACGCUACAUCAUUAUUCCCGGCACGGAGCCAUCUCCUCAGAGCUCAAGACCACUCCCCGUAGAUCCCCAGCAGCGACCUUCUCCUCAUAGCUCGAGACCGUCAUCUCCUGCACAACCUGCUCCAGGACCGUCCCUUCCAUCUAUAUCAAGGUCUCCAUCUCCACCACAUCCUGGUGGUGGGAGCGACGACGACAAUAACAACACCCCUUCCUGAUCACCAUCGCCGGCACCAAGAGCGGCCCCCAUGAAGGAACCUGCACCACCACUAAAAAAGUCACGAGCACCGCCUCCCAAGCAAAGACAGAGAAAGAAGAAAACAAAGGAGCCUGAAGUGACUCGUAAGGAACGCUGGGAGACAAUGUCUCAUGCGGAACAGUGGGCAGAAAUCCAACAAGAGGCCAGUGAGUGGUUCAAGAAACAAGCCGAAGAAAAAAAAGCAACGGAGAUGCAGCCACCGCCAGUAAAUCGAAGAGAUUUAAACUUUUUUAUCAGGAUGGAAGAAGGAGCCAAGAAAAGGAUACCACUCUUAUCAAACUAUGAACGGGCUUUAGUAAAGGCUGAUGAAAAGGAUAAAAGGAAAGGAAAGUCAUCUUCCAGCGGUGCUGUCCCCGACCUCAGCCAUUUAUCAAAAAAAGAUGCUCAACGGGUAAAAGCAAUGCCCUUGGAUCAACAAGCAGAAGUAUUGAAGUUCAUGCAAGAAACAGGUCUGGGACUUGAUGAAUGCCUAGGGCAAGUUGAGACGCCAACUGCACCGCCCCCUGAGCCGAGAUGGCCUUAUGAGCUAGGCAAACCUCUAGUAAAGCCUUCAUUGGUACGAAAGCUAUCAACAAAGAUGUACGCAUUCCAUCAAUGGUACAUGAUGGCAUCCGCUGACUCAAGGGAGAUGCUCGGCCUGAAGGUAAAACCGAUGGAUUUUCACGACAGAGGCGAGAAAGUGCUGUGGCUAGACUUCAAGGAUAUAUACGAAGUGUACCAUCAUGAUGCCAUAGACGUCUCUCUGAUCCGCGCUUGGGUUCUGUAAGUGUCCGUUUAUCUCUACAUGUAAAUUUUGGCGUGCGUCACCGUACUAACUUCGUCUUCCAUUUCAUGUAGGAUGCUAAUUCAGACAUGCCGCCGAGAGGCGUACCUACAUAUAGGCUUCAUGGAUCCAUCUGUAGUUAACCAACAGCAGAUACAAUUAGCAUCGGAGAAAACCUUGGUGGAAGUAUACAAUUUCCUAGACAAACAAACAUUCAAGGAUUUCAUACUAUUUCCAUACAACUUCAAGUAAGUGUGUGUAUACCGUCUACUUUCGAUGUCUUUUUCCUUAUCUCUACAUGUUAGUUAGCUCUAAUAUGCAUGAACAUUUUACGCACGCAGCUUCCACUGGAUCCUUAUUAUAAUUGAGCCUCAAAGAAGCCACGUCACUGUCUUCAAUUCGUUGAGGAAAGAUCCAGUGGAGCACCAAGAAAUGCAACACAUGCUAGGCUUGUAAUAAUUCUGGACCUUUAUCUCUAUGCAAAAGUUUGUUUCCUAAAUUCUAUCCCUGUUACACUAUAUCAUUCAUUAUUCUAAUCCACAGCGUAUGGAAACAAUUCAUAAGGACACAAAAAGGUCCAUUCAAAGAAAAACUUACAUGGAACACAGACUUCCCGGUACAUAUGAAGUCUGCACAUUUAUUACAUUGUAUAACACGAAUAUUUCAUAACUUAUUUUUUUCCGUAUUGAAGUGCUUAAGACAGGAACUCGGAAAUAAUCUAUGUGGCUACUACAUCUGUGAGCACAUGCACAGUUUUAUGGGACCCAAGGGACUAAAGAUGACGCCGCACAACUUUAAAGUACGUAAAAUAAAACUAUUACUAGUUAAUUAUUUUCUAGCUCCUUAUAUGUAUUUGUUCACGUAACAUUCACAAAUUUCCAAAUUAUAGAUGUUAAAUAUUCAACAAGGACUCUUGAAGGAAGAAAGAGUAGCGGCAAUAUGUGAAGGUCUCAUUGGAUUCCUAAUGGACAAGGUGGUAGAUCCAAAAGGAGAAUUUUAUUUUGAUGGACGACAAUUAGACACUCUGAUCAGCAACACCUCGAUGGGAAGAUUGUAGAUAGAUACUUUGAUUUAUUUGUAUAUAUAAUACGCGCUAAUUAUGAUCGAUUUGUACUAGUUGAAUUCUGUAUAUGAAUUGUGUAUAAGAAUUGUGUAUAUAUAUAGUAACUGUAUAAUUACAAAUCCCAUUCGUUUAAAUACUAGUUAAUUUCAUUCUAAAAAAAUCUCAACUACUUAAGGUUAACAAAAGGGCUGCGGUACUACGUACGUGAUGCAUGCAUGAAAAAUUCAGGCGCCAGGCAGGUGCCAUGCAGGGCAUCAUUUAGUCCCGUUUGGAAUCCAGCCGGGACUAAAGGGUAACCCUUUACUCCCGGUUGGGAAACCCAACCGGGACUAAAGGGGGACCGUUACUCCCGGUUAAAAGACCCGGGACUAAAACCCCCCCUUUUGUCCCGGUUGGCUUAUCCCGGAUAAAUUUUCGGGAGAUAUGCACCCUACCAACCGGGACUAAAGGCCAAUUCUCCACUAGUGGAAGGUCCUUUCUCUACCAUGAAUAUUGCCAGAAAGAAUUGAAAGAGACCGCUUGCUAAAAACAUGUCAUAGAUGCGGACCAAGCUACCAAGGAGGUAGACCAAACAUGAUACACACCAUGCGUACCUUGCUGUGCAGACUAUGCAUGGACAAGAUACCCGACCACAUGUUGGCUUUGGUCACAUCAAAAGAAUCAUGUAGGCCAUUAAUAAACUACUUGAAGCGUCAUUCCGUAUCUUAUAUCCAUCAUCUGCAUUACAUUACAUUAAAUAUUAUUAACUAUUUGAAUAAAAUGAACCAAUUUAAAAAUAAUGAAUUGUACAUUACUACAAAAAGCCCUAGCACUGCCAGUUCCAAAAACAUCAUUGUUGACGGCCGUUAAGUACCAAAUAUGACGGUCAAUAUCCUAAAGAAUAAAGGACAAUUGGCAUUUCUUACACACAUAUUUGGUUUCGAAUAAUGUAGUUCUACAUGUCCUUGGAGAUUAUUUGGGUGUGGGUGAAAUAAUACAAAAAGAAGGAGAAAACACACUCCCAUGGCAAAGAAACAUAACUCCGACCAAUGAGAGAUAGCCACAGGGGCAGCACAUGGAUCCAUGGGCCCACAAACUGCAUCAAACCAUCUUACAAGGCGGGUAGCACCCACAACUGUCAUUAGGACCCACCUGGAAGUCUAGCAAAGAAGAAGGUUGUGAGUGGGGCCACGAGGGGUUCGGUUGAAUCAUCUCUAGCUCCCUUCAUCCCCAGCUGGCGCGUGGCGGUGGUUCAUGGUGUCCCGACAUCGGUUAGAGGACAUUCCCCCAAAUAUUCCUCCUGUAAACCAGCUCUAUGAACCUAUAAAUAGAGGGGUGUGCUCUCCAUUCCAACACACACCACAAGUUGAAGCACUCUCUCCCUCUUUAGUUUCCAAGUUUACGGAGAUAGGCUGGAGUAGCUCUGCUAAAGGUUCCAAGUCCACUUGGAGUUAAGCGUAUGUCUCUUGUAUCAUUAUUUCCUAGAGAGACUUUAUGCUAUUCAAGUUAUUUAUCUUCUUCAUAUAGUGUUAUGCUUAGUUCUUAUAUGCAUGAGUUAGUCUAAUACCCUUGCUCUAUUGAUAUGCUCAGCUUAUGUGCUCGUAUGCUAGUCAUGUACCCUUGCUGUCAUAGUAUAGGGUUAUAUGCUGUCAUGUGUGCCUAUAGACCUUGCUACAGUAUAUACUUGUUGUGUAUACAUACCAUUUGUAUAUACAUUAUUACAAGUUAAGGUAGUUUUAAAUAUCCUUGUGUUGACAACCAAAGCUUGAUCUUUUGUUUCCAUUGCCAGCGGAUUCAUCGGCUCAGAGUAGGAUCAAGACAUCAAGUUGAUGGAGUUCUUUAUAUUUCAAGAGGAGUCAUGGAGUUCUUUAUAUUUCAAGAGGAGUUGAUGGUGCUUUCAAUAUUGCAACCAGACAUCAUUGGCUCUGAAGACACCGAAUCAUCGGAGUUCUAUGAUCAGUUUCGGAACAUGAAGCCUUCAUACUCCGAAACUGGGGGGCCUGUGUUGACACCGAAUUAUCGGACUUCUAUAAUUAGUUUCGGAACAUGAAGCCUUCAUACUUCGAAACUGGGGGGUAUGUGUUUACACCAAAAUUUAGAAAUGUGCUCUGAAAGGAAGGACCUGGGAGAUCUAUUGGCUGAAAUACAAAUCCAUCGAAACUAGCCUUAUGCUAAGAGAUCAGAAUAUUGUACAAAGUCUAGAAAGUUCUAUUUACAUCUAAGUAACUCGAUAACUAGCCUUACGCUAAGAGAUCAGAAUAUUGGACAAAGCCUACAAAGUUCUAAUAUAGGUAACGUAAUGACCAGGUGAGGAUAGUUACAAGCUCGCUUGAGAUCGAAGCCGAUGUAGCCCUGCGCGCAAGAAGAAACUCACCUAUUUCUACUCUACUCUUACUCCUAGGGUUUGAUGGCGUGGCGUCAAAAGAUUGUAUUGAUUGAUUGAUUAUUUGAUACAAAGCUCAUGGGCCUAUAUUUAUACCCUUGAGAAAGCUAAAAUCCUAAUCAGUUAUGACAUGAAUCGUGACAGAAAAUCUAACUAAAGAUAGAUCUCCAUGCUUUCCCUUAUUUGGUGGAGUCGAUUUCACUUCAUAUCGGAUCCCUCCCGAUCUUCUAUCGGCUUCUAGCAUCCGGUCAUCUGCGACUGGCCUUGGUCAACAUCAGGUGUCAACAGACUUAUUUCUUCUACAAGUUCAUCGGCUGUCAGAGCCUUGUCUUAGUCAGUUGACUCUAGUAAAAAAUCGAUGUCAAUACAUGCCCCCCAAUUUUUGAAUAAAAUAUUAUAUUUCAAAAUUCUCUUCUCUUGUCAACAGCUUUUGAAAGAAAAAGAGUCACUGCUGCAAUCAUAAUCUUUUUCCCCGGGUUUUGUGAUAGCACCCUCCUCAUUUUAAGGGAUUCACCAUGUGGAAAUUAUAAUAUAACUGCUUCACCCAUUUCGUUUUCUUCACCAAACCAACUAUUGUCAGCCGCUACAACCAAAAAUCAAUUAUUCCCUUCACAUGCCUAGCGACUGCAUCCAUCACUCAUCGUCACCAUUAGUCUCCAUGUGUCAAGGCUUCUUCAACCAGCAAUGGCGACAUUAUCUUCCAUUCCACAGGUACCAUGUAUCCUAGCCAUUCCUUUCCCCUUUCAACCUGAAAUCCAAUCUAGUCACUAUAUAUCAAACCUGUGUUCUUAAUCAAUACUUGCCCCCUUGUACUUAGAAACACCCUUUUGAUCCCCAUAUCCGAUACGCAAGCAGAAUACUUUCUAGGCCCCAUGGGUAGUGAAGACCCAAUAGAAUCUAUUAAUGCUGAAAUACUUGGACAAAGUCUAGAAAGUUCUAUUUACAUCUAAGUAACUCGAUAACUAGCCUUACGCUAAGAGAUUUAAAUAUUGGAUAAAGCCUAGAAAGUUCUUAUAUAGGUAACUGAAAAGUGUGUUGACGCAAAAAUUGGAUGGUUGACUCCUGCGUACUAACACACGGAACCAGGGAGAAUCUGCUUAGCUACUGUUCGGGUUAUAGCCCUCUCGAUCCGUAGCGUGCCAGUUAAUCUGACCUGCUGAUUGACAAGUAAAAAUGUCAAAUUAAGAGCAAAUCAGCUGGUGUUCCGAAUCGCUCCACGGGACGUAUCAGUAGACAGCCGAUACGGGCAAACGACAAUCAGCUAGAUCAGCCGAUUUGCUCUUGUAUUUGACGUUUUACUUGUCCUUCUCAAUCAGCAGGUCAGAUUGACUCGCACGACGCAGAUCGAGAGGGCUAUAACCUAAACAAGAGCUAAGCAGAUUCUCCCGGGUUUCAUGUCUUAGUACACAGAAGUCAACCGUCUGAUUUUAUCAUCAACACGCUUUUUGGCACGCUCAGUGGGACCCGAUUCAUAUCUUAAUGGUAAUUGGUGAUCAAGUUUCAAACAACGUAUCCACUGGUAGAAAACUGAGCAUUAGUCCCGGUUGGUAAGGGUCAUAUCUCUCGGAUAUCCAUCCGGGAUAAACCAACCGGGACAAAAGGGGGGGGUCUUUAGUCCCGGGUAUUUUAACCGGGAGUAAAGGACCCCCUUUAGUCCCGGUUGGUGUCACCAACCGGGACUAAAGGGCCUGCCACGCCAGGCGCGGGACAGGCCCUUUAGUCCCGGUUGGUGACACCAACCGGGACUAAAGGGGGUCCCUUUAGUCCCGGUUGGAUUUCCCAACCGGGACUAAAGGGGUCCCCUUUAGUCCCGGCUCAAUUCCAACCGGGACUAAAUUGCGCUUGCAUGGCACUGGUGACGCCUGAAUUUUUCAUGCAUGCAUCACGUAUACGUAUAGUAGUACCGCGGCCCUUUUAAUUUGUUAACCUUGUAGUUGAGAUUUUUUUAGAAUGAAUUAAAUCAACUAGUAUUUAAACGAAUGGGAUUUGUAAUUACACAACUACUAUAUAUAUACACAAUCCUUAUACACAAUUCAUAUACACAAUUCAACUAGCUUAAUUAGUACAAAUCGAUCAUAUAUACAAAUAAAUCAAAGUAUCUUCCUACGAUCUUCCCGUCGUGGUGUUGCUGAGAGGAGUGUCUAAUUGUCGUCCAUCGUAAUAAAAUUCUCCUCUUGGAUUUACCACCUCGUCCAUUAUGAAUCCAAUGAGACCUUCACAUAUUGCCGCUACUCUUUCUUCCUUCAAGAGUCCUUGUUGAAUAUUUAACAUCUAUAAUUUGGAAAUUUGUGAAUGUUACAUGAACAAAUACAUAUAAGGAGCUAGAAAAUAAUUAACUAGUAAUAUAUUUAUUUUACGUACUUUAAAGUUGUGCGGCGUCAUCUUCGGUCCCUUGGGUCCCAAAAAACUGUGCAUGUGCUCACAGAUGUAGUAGCCACAUAGGUUAUUCCCGGGUUCCUGUCUUAAGCACUUCAGUGCGGAAAAAAAAUAAGUUAUGAAAUAUUCGUGUUAUACAAUGUAAUAAAUGUGCAGACUUCAUACGUACCGGGAAGUCUGUGUUCCAUGUAAGAUCUUCUUUGAAUGGACCUUUGUGUGUCCUUAUGAAUUGUUUCCAUACGCUGCGGAUUAGAAUAAUGAAUGACAUAGUGUAACAGGGAUAAAAUUUAGGAAAUAAAUUUUUGCAUAGAGAUAAAGGUCCAGAAUUAUUACAAGCCUAGCAUGUCUUGCAAUUCUUGGUAGUCCACCGGAUCUUUCCGUAACGAAUCAAAGACAGUGACGUGGCUUCUUUCAGGCUCAAUUAUAAUAAGGAUCCAGUGGAAGCUGCGUGCGUAAAAUGUUCAUGCAUAUUAGAGCUAACUAACAUGUAGAGAUAAGGAAAAAGACAUCGAAAGUAGACGGUAUACACACACUUACUUGAAGUUGUAUGGAAGUAGUAUGAAAUCCUUGAAUGUUUGUUUGUGUAGGAAAUUGUAUAUUUCGGCAAAGGUUUUUUCCGGCGCUAAUUGUAUCUGUUGUUGGUUAACUACAGAUGGAUCCAUGAAGCCUACAUGUAGGUACGCCUCUCGGCGGCAUGUCUGAAUUAGCAUCCUACAUGAAAUGGAAGAUGAAGUUAGUACGGUGACGCACGCCAAAAUUUACAUGUAGAGAUAAUAAACGGACACUUACAGAAUCCAAGCGCUGAUCAGAGAGACGUCCAGGGCAUCAUGAUGGUACACUUCGUAUAUAUCCUUGAAGUCUAGCCACAGCACUUUCUCCCCUUCACCGUGAAAAUCUAUCGGUUUUACCUUCAUGCCGAUCAUCUCCCUCGAUUUGGCGGAUGCCGUCAUGUACCAUUGAUGGAAUUCGUACAUCUUUGUUGACAGCUUCCGUACCAUUGCCGGCUUCACUAGAGGCUUGCCUAGCUCAUAAGGCCAUCUCGGCUCAGGGGGCGGUGCAGUUGGCGUCUCGACUUGCCCUAUGCAUUCUUCAAGUCCCAGACCUGUUUCUUCCAUGAACUUCAAUAUAUUUUCUUGUUGAUCCAAGGGCAUUGCUUUUACCCGUUGAGCAUCUUUCUUUGAUAAAUGGCUGAGGUCGGGGACUGAACCGCUGGAGGAUGAUUUUCCUUUUCUUUUAUCCUUUUCAUCAGCCUUUACUAGAGCCCGUUCAUAGUUUGACAAGAGUGGUAUCCUUUUCUUGGCUCCUUCCUCCAUCCUGAUAAAAAAGUUUAAAUCCCGCCGACUUACUGGCGGUGGCUCCAUCUCCCUUGCCCUUUUUAAUUCGGCUUGUUUCUUGAACCACUCACUGGCCUCUCGUUGGAUUUCUGCCCACUGUUCCGCAUGAGACAUUGCCUCAAAGCGUUCCUUGCGAGCCACUUCAGGGUCGACCUUUGUUUUCUUCUUUCGAGGCUGUCUUUGCUUGGGAGGCGGUGCUCGUGACUUCUUGAGUGGUGCUGCAGGUUCCUUCGAGGGGGCCGCUCUUGGUGCCAGCGACGGUGAUCGGGGAGGGGUGUUGUUAUUGUCGUCGUCGCUCCCAGCACCAGGAUGUGGUGGAGAUGGAGACCUUGAUAUAGAUGGAAGCGACGGUCCUGGAGCAGGAGAUGCCGGUCUCGAGGUAUGAGGAGAAGGUCGCUGCUCGGGAUCUACGGGGAGCGGUCUUGAGGUCUGAGGAGAUGGCUCCGUGCGGGAAAUAAUGAUGUAGCGUUUCUUCCAUAGAAUGAUCCCAUGAAGCGCAUCUGCCAAUGUCUUUUCCCCGUCGCCUCCCGGGAAGUCGAGCUCUAGACCUUCAUACUGGGCAUCUACUAUUUGCUCGACGCAGACGCUGGCGUAGCCUGUUGGAAUGUCCAUGCCAUGACUGCUCUGCCCUGCCAGCGUUGGUAACGCACUCCCAUACGCUACCUGUACAUAUAGCAGAAGUAAACAAGUUGAACUCCGAUCUCGAGGCCUGGAUCAAUUGACAAGAUUGCAUAAAUAUUAUGUAUAAGUAUACCUUAAUAGUGAGGUUGCCGACCGGUGCAUGCAGCUCACAUGAGGUCCGUUGCGUGAUGGCAUCCACGGGGAACCGUUGCUCCUCCACGGGUAACCUGGGCGUCUGCGCAUCGGGGACCCCUGUAGAAGCACAACUGCUCCCGAGGCGUUGAGAAGGGCUGGCGGUGUGAGGAUUCGGCAGUGCUCCAGAUUGCGCCAACUCCGCAACUGCGUCGGCCACCCGCCGAUUGAUUUCAUCCAUCAUUCGUUGUUCUAGCAUCUGCCGCCAGCUCUCCUCCAUCUGUUCCUUUCUUCGCUUCCGGCUUCUGUAAGAGGCGCUGUCGCCUCGGAAAGCGAACUUCCACGGAACCACCCCGAACCCCCGGCAACGUCCUGGGUGCUCUGGAUUACCGAGGGCCAAUGUGAGCUCAUCAUUUUCUCGGUCCACCCUCAACCUCCCAGCCUUGGAAUCUUCAAUGUUCUUCAUGAGAUGUUCGGCCUUCUCACGUAUUCUGUCAUUGAAAAUCAGCGUCCCAUCCUCUUGGCUUAGGGAGCCUCCAUGAGCGUAGUACCAGUUCUUUGAUCGUUCGGGCCAUUCAAUAGUUGCAGGUAUGAUUCCCCGUUCGAUCAGAUCUUGUUCCAUCUUUCUCCACUUGGGAAUUGCUGAGCCAUACCCACCUCGCCCCAAAUGAUGGUGGUAGCCCUUCUGACUAGCAUUUGCAACGUUGGUCGUGAUCUUUUUCACACCUUCUUCACUCCUCUUGUAUUCAACAAAUGCAUCCCAGUGGUCCCUCAACUUGGGCCACGCGUUGAAGUCUGGAGUUUUGCCCUUCUUGAUGUAGUGGGUGUCCAGCAUCUUCUUGAAUGUCUGGAAUUGAGUAGCCAUCUUCUUAAGUGUCCACGCUUUGACAUCCUUCUCGCUAUAAUCUUCGGGGAAUGUGAAAUGCCUCUUCACGUCUUCCCACAGCAUAUUCUUUUCUGUCUCUGGAAGGGCGUACGGAUUAUCGCUUCUGCCCUUCCAUUCUCUGAUGCUGAUAGGCACGUUGUCCCGGACAAUUGCCCCGAUUUGACUAACGUACUUCUUUGCGACUUUCUCGGGAGCAACCGGCCUGCCCUCAUCUGUAACUUCGGUGAUGACAAGCCUCCCUUCCAUCACCUUUGUACGACCUCGGGUCUUCUGCCCUUGUGUCGAUCCGGAGGGCUAACAGUUUAAGAUUCGUUAAUUAGUACGUACUAGUAGCGGUGGCGUGAAACAAUACAAGAAUGGUUGUAUAUACCUCGCCGGAACCUUCCGCCACGGCAAGUUGUUGCUGCGGCUGUUGCUCUUCAUUCACAUCGGCAGACAUGUUGAGGAACAUGUCCGCCUGGGUGCCCUCUUCAUCCGUGUAUGAUAGUGGAACGUUGUCGCCACUAUCAUCACCAGCGAUUAUCUGCUCCAUGAUAUACCUUGCGGUCUCAUCGUCUGCCAUUUCAACUAUUGCUGCAAACAUACAUGGAAUCAUACAUGACAGUCAUAGAAAUCGUCUUAAUACAAAUUUGUAUAUAAUCACAGUUCGGAAUCAUACAUGUAUAUAAUGAAAUCAUAAAAUAACAUGAAUCGUACAAAGUCCGGAAUCUUUAUACAAAUUUCUAUGAAUUUAUACAAAUUUCUAUGAAUUUAUACAAAUUUCUAUGAAUUUCUAUGAAUUUCUAUGAAUUUCUAUGAAUUUCUAUGAAUUUCUAUGAAUUUAUACAAAUUUCUACGAAUUUCUAUGAAUUUCUAUGAAUUUCUAUGAAUUUAUACAAAUUUCUACGAAUUUCUAUGAAUUUCUACAAAUUUCUACGAUUUUCUAUGAAUUUCUACAAAUUUCUACGAAUUCCUACGAAUUUUGACGAAUUUCUACGAAUUUUGACGAAUUUCUACGAAUUUCUACGACGGCGAUAAGGGCGGCGAAGGCGGGACGGCGGCGGUCAGGGCGGCGGAGGCGGGACGGCGGCGGUCAGGGCGGCGGAGGCGGUUCACCGGAACCACGGGCGGUGCCUAAGCUACUACGUUGUGAUGGGCGGCAGGACGGCGGCGAUCACGGCGGCUACUCGGCGGCGAUCACGACGGCUACAAGGCGACUGUCACGGUAGCUACUCGGCGGGACGGCGGCGAUCACGACGGCGGGACGGUAGUUAACAACCUAACUACAAAUCUAACUUAACAAACUAACUAGAAAUCUAAAAAUCUAACUUAACAAAAUUAGAAAUCUAAAAAUCUAACUUAACAAAAUUACAAUUCCAUCUAAAAAAACAAAAUUAAAAAUUAAAAGAAAACGGCCAGCUCUCCCGGCGCACCGGCCGGCGCGGCAGACCUCUCGCGCGCGGGGCGGCGGCCGGGGCGGCGGGACGGCGGCGGCCGGGGCGGCCUGACGGCGGCGGCUGGGGCGGCGACGAGGACGAAGACGACGACGGCGGGAUGACGGCGGCCGAGGCGAAGACGACGACGGCGGCCGGCGAGGGGCGACGAGGAUGGAGCUGGCGACGAGGGGCGAUGCAGCCGGCGAGGGAGGCGGACGGGCGGCGACGGGCGGAGAGGGAGGCGGACGGGCGGCGACGGGCGAGGGAGGCGGACGGGCGACGACGACGGCGCAAUGCGGGACUUCGACGGCGCAAUGGGGGACGACGACGGCGGCGGCCGGCGAGGGAGGCGGACGGGCGGCGACGGGCGGAGAGCGCGGGACUUGCGAAAAUUUCGCUAAGUGUGGAACUGGCGGGGGGUAGAAGGGAGUACAGUGCUUUUAACCCCCCCCCCCUUUUAUCCCGGUUCGUAAUGGCACCCGGGACAAAAAGGGCCUUUUGUCCCGGGUCCUGUCACCAACCGGGACAAAAGGCCCCCCCUUUUAUCCCGGUUGGUGACGGGACCCGGGAUAAAAGGGUGCGCUCCCAGCCCCACCUGGCGGGGGCACCCUUUUAUCUCGGGUCCCGUUACCAACCGGGACAAAAGGCCCCCCCUUUUAUCCCGGUUGGUAACGGGACCCGGGACAAAAGGGUGCCCCCGCCAGGUGGGGCUGGGAGCGCACCCUUUUAUCCCGGGUCCCGUCACCAACCGGGAUAAAAGGGGGGGGCCUUUUAUCCCUGUUGCAAAUGGCAACCGGGAUAAAAGGGUACGUUCGGGCGGGAGACGAAACGUACCCUUUUAUCCCGGUUGCCGUUUGCAACCAGGAUAAAAGGGGGGCCUUUUAUCCCGGUUGCUGUUAGCACCCGGGACAAAAGGUCCUUUUUCCUAUUUUUCUUCUCCCGCCUGUUUUUUGGAAAUGGAUUUUAUUUAACCUUUUCACUGCAUUCCAGGAUGAAAAACAAAACCUUCUCAGAUUUUGUACAUGCAAAAAUAUAUUUAAUUAACGAGUAAAUUGACAAUAAGUAUGAAGUAAUCAUUAUUUCUAUACCAACUCAUAUAGCCUGUAAAAUAUUUAUUUUACUGCAUUGCUGUGAUCAAUAAAUUAUUCAAUUAAAUUUUUUGAAUGCGCAGAAAAAUCCAUGUUAGUAUGUGGUUAACAAUGUUCAUGUAUAUCUAAAAAAUCUUCACCUAACAAAUUUAAUUACAAAUUUUAUCAAUUAAUACACAAAGGUCAUGCACAUUUAACGCAUUACAAUACAACGUUGUAAAAUUUCUUCUUCACGAAAGUUCCUUGAUCAUGAUCGCGGCGUAAGUACGGAGCCUCUUCUUUGGACAGCAGGAUGCUUGGAUCAACUUCAACGUCGAAUGGAGGCAUGCCAUCAAACUGAUCAUAAUCAUCUGAUUGGUCUGUUUUAUCCUCGACUCCCACGAUUUUUCUUUUACCUAGAAGAACUAUGUGGCACUUUGGCUCCCAUGUCUCUUCUGGAUUCCUCUUGGGUUUGCUGCACAUGUCCUUCACAUAGAACACCUGAUGCACAUCAUUGGCAAGUACGAAUGGGUCAUCACUGUAUCCAGUCUUGCUCAGAUCUACUAUUGUCAUUCCGUACUGAUCUUUGGUGACGGCAGUUAGCUUCACCCAAUUGCAAAGAAAUAGAGGGAUGUACAGCGGUCCGUAUUCGAGUUCCCAUAUCUCCUGUAUGAAACCAUAAUACGACUCCUUGCUAUUAUUUCUGUCCAUGGCAUCUAUGCGGACACCACUAUUCUGGUUCGUGCUUUUCUGGUCCUGGGCUCUCGUGUAAAAUGUGUAACCAUUUAUCUCAUAGCCUUGGAAUUUGACGAUUGUGGUAGCAGGUCCCCUGGCUAACCAAGCAAGCUGUGGGUGAAUCUCAGAGUUACCCAUAAGUUGUUGGCGCAACCAGGAGGGAAAAGUUUCCAUGUGAUGACGGGUAAGCCAAGCAUCGGAUUUGGUCGGGUUUUUGGAAGCUACCAUCUGCCUGUGCUGCUCGAUAUACGGAGACACAAAGGAUGACUGUUGUAGAACAGUGUAGUGUGCCUUGUCGAACAAAUUAGUAUCAUUGCUCAAACUUGAUUUCCUUCCAAGGGUGCCCAUUCCUCGGAGCCUCCCCUCGUGGCGUGAAGUUGGAACCCCAAUCGAGUCAAUUGAAUCAAUAAAAUCAACACAAAACUCGAUCACCUCCUCUGUUCCAUAUCCCCUGGCGAUGCUUCCUUCUGGACGAGCACGAUUACGAACAUAGUUUUUUAGGACUGCCAUGAACCUCUCGAAAGGCCACAUAUUGUGCAGGUAUACAGGUCCGAGAAUACCAAUCUCUUUUACUAGGUGAACCAGUAAGUGCGUCAUAUUAUUGAAGAAGGAUGGUGGAAAUAACAACUCAAAACUGACAAGACAUUGCACCACAUCGUUCUGUAGCUUUGAUAGCUUGGAUGGAUCGAUUGCCUUCUGCGAAAUCGCAUUGAGAAACGCGCAUAGCUUUACGAGCGGCAACCGGACAUUUUCGGGUAGAACACCCCUCAGUGCAACCGGAAGCAACUGGGUCAUCAACAUGUGGCAGUCAUGAGCCUUGAGAUUUGUAAACUUCUUUUGUUUCAUAUUUAUUAUUCCCUUUAUAUUCGAGGAGUACCCAGACGGGACCUUCAUACUAUUCAAGCAUUCAAACAUACUAUCCUUCUCCUCCUUGCUGAGAGUGUAACUGGCAGGACGUAAGUAGUGCUGUCCAUUAUCUCUCUUUUCCGGAUGUAGGUCAUCUCGUUGCCCCAUGGCUUUCAGGUCCUGUCUUGCUUCCAAUGUAUCUUUUGAGGUUCCAUAAACACCCAUGAAGCCUAGCACGUUCACGCAAAGAUUCUUCGUCAGGUGCAUCACGUCUAUUGCGUUGCGAACCUCUAGGAUUUCCCAAUAAGGUAGCUCCCAAAAUAUUGACUUUUUCUUCCACAUGGGUGCAUGUCCGUUAUCAUCGUUCGGAAUAGGUUGGCUACCAAGUCCCUUUCCAAAGACUACAUGUACAUCCUUCAUCAUCUCGAACACACGCUUUCCAUUACGGUGUGCAGGUUUUUUACGAUGGUCUGGCGUCCCUUUGAAAUGCAUCCCGCUCUUUCUCAGCUGGUGGUGAGCAGGGAGAAAUCGACGAUGACCCAUAUAGACGACCUUCUUACAGUGCUUCAAGUACAUGCUAUCUGUGUCAUCUAAACAGUGGGUGCAUGCCCGAUAUCCCUUAUUUGUCUAUCCUGAAAGGUUACUCAAUGCAGGCCAAUCGUUGAUGGUUACGAACAACAGUGCUCGUAGAUUAAAGAUCUCUUGUCUAUCCUCAUCCCACACACGUACACCUUCUUCCUUCCAGAGCUGUAAAAGGUCAUCAACCAACGGCCUUAGGUACACGUCAAUGUCGUUGCCGGGUUGUUUUAGGCCUUGGAUAAGCGCCGGCAUCAUAAUGAACUUCCGCUUCAUGCACAGCCAAGGAGGAAGGUUGAACAUACAAAGGGUCACAGGCCAAGUACUAUGACCACUACUCAACUCACCGAAUGGAUUGAAUCCAUCAGUGCUUAAACCAAACCUUAUGUUCCUUGCUUCACUUUCAAAGUCUGGGAAUGUUCUAUCAAUUGAUCUCCACUGUGCCCCAUCUGCGGGGUGUCUCAGCAUCUCAUCUUCCUUACGGUCUUCUUUGUGCCAUCGCAUCAACUUAGCAUUCGCCUUGUUCCUGAACAAGCGCUUCAAGCGUGGUAUUAUAGGGAAAUACCACAUCACCUUCACGGGAACUCUCUUCUUGGGAGACUGCCCCUCGACAUCACCAGGAUCAUCUCGCCUGAUCUUAUACCGCAGGGCUUCGCAGACGGGACAAGCAUCCAAUUCCUCGUAUUCAUCACCACGAUAGAGGAUACAGUCAUUAGGGCAUGCGUGUAUCUUCUGAACAUCCAAUCCGAGAGGGCAAAUAAUCUGUUUAGCUUCAUAUGUUGUGGACGGUAAUUCAUUAUUCUCGGGGAGAAUCUUCUUGACAAUUCUCAACAUCCCCUGAAAUGCCUUAUCGGACACACCAUUUUUUGCCUUCCAUUGCACAAAUUCUAGUGUCGUACCUAGUUUUUUAUGGCCCUGCUGGCAACCUGGGUACAACAAUUUUUGGUGAUCAUCUAUCAUGCGCUGCAACUUUGCUGCUUCCUUCUCAGUUUCGCAAUCUCUGUAUGCAUCUCGUAUCACCUGACCAAGGUCAUCAGUAGGGUCAUUUUCUGCAAACUCAUCUUCAUCAGCCUCGCCCAUUGUAGUACCUGCAAAAGCUUGGCCUGCAACCCAGUCCGGAAUGGUGUCAUCUUCCUCCUCCUCCUCGCCAUCUUCCAUUACAACCCCUAGUUCACCGUGCUUGGUCCAAACCAAAUAGUUAGGCAUGAAACCGUAUUUAAACAAGUGGCUGUGAAUAGUCCCCCAGGAAUUCUUUGAAUACUCCUUCCUGUUAUUGCAUUGGAAGCAUGGACAACAUACGAACCCAUUCUCUGGCUUGUUCGCUUUUGCCACUUCGAGAAAAUAAUGCAAGCCAUCAAUAAACACCUUGCUCCGCCUGUCUGCAUUAUACAUCCAAUGCCGGUCCAUCUGCAUCGUAUUACGCACGAAAAUGGAUUACACUUGACAAUGGAUUACGCGUGAAAAUCGAUUAAAGAUCCAAACAACAUGGUACAAUACAACAACAUGAAGAUCCAAAUACACAUAUUUAAAUUAAAGUCCCAAACACUGCAUAAGUUGUUCAACUUGAAGACCGUGAUCAUCUCGUGAGGAUGUCCUCAACUGGGCGGCACCGCACUUCGUCAUUAAAGAGGUUAGAUGCUACGGAAAAGGGGACACGGUCACAAUGUCCGUAUCCACUCUUUCUCGUAGAAUCGAACCUCCUUCUUGACAUACGUUGCUGCUCGGCGGAGAACAUCCUCGGCGAGAUGAACACGGUAUGCAAGUUCAACAAGUAGCAGAAGUCAUCUAUGUACAAAAAUUCUUUCCUUACCACUACAGAAGUUGUUGAACUUGAAGACCGUGUUCAUUUCGCGAGGAUGUCCUCAGCUAGGCGGCACCGCACUUCGUCAUGAAAGAGGUUAGAUGCUACGGAAAAGGGGACACGGUCACGAUGUCCGUAUCCACUCUUUCUCGUAGAAUCGAACCUCCUUCUUGACAUACGUUGCUGCUCGGCGGAGAACAUUCUCGCCGAAAUGAACACGGUAUGCAAGUUCAACAAGUAUAUGGAUUUAAAAAACCAUAUUGAAUUUGAUAAGAUAAACCGUCUAGACAAGGUAGCAUCAUUUUUAAACCACUGAAAUAAUGCAUACUAUAUAUGACACAUCAAUCUCCCUCACAUUCUAGCUCAAAAUACCUCUCCAUUUUUCUACUUCAUCAUCACAUUGUAGCAAAUAAUCUUUCCAUCUCCAAAGCAUAAAUCAAAGCAUAACACGAGGAUGAAGUAGCAAACCUUCGCAGCACUUGUUGGCUGAGUCAAAUUCCCACGAAAAUGAGGGAAAAAAGUUCGGGCAGCACCUCCCUUGCUUGGGCACCACCGGAGAGUAGGUGAAGCUCAGCUCUCUAUCAAUGUGCUGGACUGCUCGGGCUGGAGGAAGAAGAAAGUCUCUGUCUCGGGGUAUAGUGGGGGAUGAGUUUUAAUCCCGGUUAAAAACUCCAACCGAGACAAAAGGAAACACCUUUUGUCCCGGUUGGAAAGUUAGUCCCGGUUGGAGGAUCCAACCGGGAUAAAAGGGACACCCUUUUAUCCCGGUUGGAGGCACCAACCGGGACUAACCCUUUUAUCCCGGUUGGUGCCUCCAACCGGGAUAAAAGGGUGUCCCUUUUAUCCCGGUUGGAUCCUCCAACCGGGAUAAAAGGGUCCCGCCACCGACGGCCCCCGCUAGCCGUUGCAACCGGGACUAAAGGGGGGCCUUUAGUCCCGGUUGCAAUUACCAACCGGGACUAAUGCUCCCCUCCAAAUUCCCGCACCCCGGCGCACCCCCUUUUGUCCCGGGCCACUUUUAAACCGGGAUAAAAGGGGGUUGAUCGAAAGUCAGUUCUCUACUAGUGAUCGGUGACUCCGCUCGAGGAGAAUUGUUUAUAUCAAGCAUAGAAAUGACAACGUUGGAAGUGGAGGAUAUAUUUUGCUCUGUUGAUUUAAUUGCCGCGAGAGUGGCGGACAAGUUCUAAUGAUUGAAGAUCAGAAGCGUCUCGUGGAGAAUUUUUCAGAAGCUAUAUUUGGAAUUAUUAUAUUAUCUCAGGAGCAGAUUAAAUAUAACGCCACCACUGAAAGCCGAUGAGAUGUAUCUAUCGGCUACAUGCUAUUCAGAUGAAUUUGAUGACAGAUUAAUUACGGAGGAGACCGACCGAUACAACAUUAUGGUUUCUUACUGCUGAUCUGUUAUGAAAGAGGAUGUGAGAAGCUGAUAAUCAAGCAACAAUAAAAUGAUAUACACGCAGGGCAUUAAAUAUUGAGUUAAUGAUUGGGAGUACUACCAUUAUCUUAUGAAAAGUCCAUCGGCUAACCAAACAGCGUCAGCCGAUGGAAGCAAAUAGUGUCAGCCGAUAGAAUGAUGUUAUAUAAGUAUAUAUAUCGGCCUCCGAGCCAAUGGGAAGUAGGAACUAUCAGCCGAUGCACACAUCCAUGGACAUAGCCGAUAAGACAUUGUAUCGGCUGCUUGGCAAAUAAAAAUAGCAUCGGCUGACCGCUUGUUAAAAUAUUAUCGGCCGAUUGCUUGGCAAAAUAGUAUUGGCUGACUGCUUGGCAAAUAAAAAAAUAAUAGGUUGACCAAAAAAGGAUAGCAUUGCCUGAUUGCUUGGCAAAUAAAAAAAAUUACGUCGGCUGAUUGGUUCCAGCAAAAUAGUAUCGGCUGCUUGUUGAUCAGAAAAAGCCGAUACUGUUACAGCUCCCGCAACUGUGCUUUGCUGUCAUCGGCUGGGUUGUUCGUGCUCCAUCUGCAAAUAUUUGUCCCGGCUAGAAAGUAUCGUACGUGCAUUGGGAUUCGGCAGUACAAAUCACGUACACGCGUAUGGUCUGCUCAGAAGCUGUCUGUUCGACGAAGUUCCAGGCCAAUGGUGGAGACUUGAUGACCAUGGUGACCUGCAUUAAUCAACAUGAAGUAUGUAUCGGCUGUUCGGUGAUUGGUAGCAAAUCAGCUUUCUCAUAGCCGGUGACAUAUGGGGCAAGAAAUAUCAGGCUUAAAAAAGGACAGUACGAUCAAUGUCGAAAGUUGUAGCCGACGGUUCUAUUAUUGUGCAGUCGAUGGAACAUAGAAGAUGCAUCUGAAUGAGCAAAAGGAAGGGAGCCGAUAGAAGGGAAUUUAAGUUGCAUGAGAUCCAAUUAAAUUAAGAUGACGAGAGGUGUUGACAUCGAAUCAUCGGACUUCUACGAAGUCUUCAUACUCCGAAACUAGGGAGUCUGUGUUAACACCAAAAUUUAGAAAUAUGCUGAUGCAAAAAAAUAAUGAAAUCUCCUAAAUAAGGCUCAAGAAAGAAAAAGCAAGAAAAGAAAAUCAAUCGCACGCGGCAAGAAUUGAAUAAAAUAUUCUAGAGGUAGAGUUGGUUAGGAUAAGCUUAAUUAGGGAUAGAGUUGGAUUAGUUAGAGAUAGUAUUUUGAUUAGAAAAGAUUGUGUACAUGACUUGUACGUGGUGCGUCAGAGGCCAUCCGCCCUAUAAAUAUAAGGGGUCGUGGCCAUUGUAAUUAUCAUCACACGAUCAAUAUACAACAUAUUUAUCUUUUACCUUUUCGGCUUCACGCCAUUGUAUUAGGAGUAGGAGUAAUGUAGCUUCCUGACGAGUUCCUUCUAGCAAGCUGUGCUGCAUUGACCUUGAUCUCUGGCGAGCUGCAAAGUUCCGUCACCAGGUGUUCUAGGCUUUAACCACCGGGCGCAUCGCUUGUGGUUUCGUCUAGUUUCAUCUACAAGGUAUCGAAUAUCAUGGAUCUUUAACUUACGCAUCGCUUCUGUCUUGAUCUACGGUAUUCACCAGUUAUCCUGCCUUGGUUAAGUCUGCAUCGGCUGAUAUUUAUCUGUUCUAUCAUCUUGCCGUUCAGUUUGCUUUAAUUAGCUUUAGAUCGGUUCAUUAUAGAUGAUAGAUCGCUUAAUAGCCUGUUGCAUCUUAAUCUUGGUUACCCCUUCAAGUGCUGUUGGGAUUAAGUUUCGUUAUGAUUGGAUUCAUCGGCUGGUGGGGUUGGUGGGGUUCAGAUUAACAUCGUGCUAAAUAUUUCUAGACUGCAACUACUGGACGCAUCGCUGUGGUUUCAUCUAGAGAUAUUGGUAGAGAGUUUAGUUUAGAUCUCAUCGGUUCGUGGCUCUAGCUAUGGUGGAGCGGCAGCUGAAUAGCAUCCUGUUUUCUAUCGGUCGCCUGGCCGAUAGUUAUUGCAAAAUAUAUUAAAUCGCCUGGAUGGCCGAUGGAUCACUCACGCUCGUCAAGGAUCAUAUCGGCCUGAUCGGCCAGUUGCCUCGGACUUCAAAGGAUUAUUUUCACCUUGUCAGUUGAAUGGUCAAACUGGCUGGCACGCCCGCGCACACCAUGCGCGCCGAUUUGGAUUUUGCACUGGAGUUAAGUAGAUCUUCCAGGUCCUCAUGUGGUGACGAAGGAUCCACCACCAUCAGGAUUUUGCGUCAACACAUUUUGGCACGCCCAGUGGGACACGGUUAUAAGGUUCAUAUUUUUAUUCAUAUAAAAAAGCAUCUUCGGCAUCAUCGGCCAAAUGAGUGUUCAUCGGCUUGUUAGAAUUAAUUCAAUAUAAUAUUUCAGCAAAAGCAGCCGAUGUAGCGAUUGGAGAUAAGGCCAAGUCAAGUCUGCGUGUAUACGCAUGUUCCGGUGGGAUCAUCUUCAUAAAUGCCAAUGACGAUUAGAGAUGAAGCUUCCUGCAAAAUGAUUGGCUACUCUAUCCGGGAAGAAUUGCUUUUUUAUGAGGCAUAUAUAGAGACCCAUGUUGCAAUUAGGGGGCGUAUUCGUGCAUUGGCUGAAAUAAAAAAAUGCAUCGGCAUAUUGAAAAUUGCAUCGGCCGAUUGACAGUCGUAUCAGCUGAUUGGAAAAAUAAAAAGGGAUCAGGGAUCCGCCGAUUGAAAAUUGCAUCAGCUGAUGGAAAAUGAGAGCAACAGUUACAAUAUUUUUUUUAAAAGAAAGCAAGUAUCGGCAAGCAGUAGCCGAUGGAUUUGUAUUUCAGCCAAUGGGGUUUUUGUUUCAGCUGAUAGUACUACUGGCUGAUGGCAAGUCCAAUGGAGUUAAAAUUGCAUUGACUGAUUGAAAUAAAAAUUAAGUAUCGGCUAAUUUAUGGCCAAGUAGCAUCUGCUGAUUUGUUGCAAAGUAGUUUCGGCUGAUUUAUGGCAAAAUAGAAUCGGCCGAUUUAUGGCAAAGAAGCCAAUAGACAAAAGCAUCGGCUGGUAGAGAAGCCGAUUGAGCAAGCAUCUGUUGAUGAGCUAUGUAUGGGAAAAAGUAUUGGCUGCUUAAACAAUUGACAAAAGCCAAUUGGUCAGACUGAGAAGCCAACUGGGAAAGCAUCGAUCGAUGGAUUGCGUAUGGGAGAGAGUAUCGGUUGAAGUCUUUAGUAUUGACUGCUAGAUAUUUGAGCAAGCGUCGGCCGAUUGACUGCUUGGUAAAAAAAACAUCGGGCUGAUUGCUUGGUUAAUAAAAAAAUUGCAUCGUUCAAGCAAAGAUUGCAUGGGCUGAUUGGUUCAAGCAGAAUAGUAUCGGUUGCUUAUAGAAUAUAUCGGAUAUUAAUUUCGAAGCAUGAAAAUAUUCAUACUCCGAAACUGGGGGGCCUGUGUUGACAACAAAAGCUUGCUGGUUACUGCAUCAAGUUUUGGUGUCAACAUACUUGAUCUUUUGUUUCCAUUGCCAGCGGAUUCAUCGGCUCAGAGUGGGAUCAAGACAUCAAGCUGAUGGAGUUCUUUAUAUUUCAAGAGGAGUCAUGGAGUUCUUUAUAUUUCAAGAGUAGUCGAUGGUGCUUUGAAUAUUGCAACCAGACGUCAUUGGCUCUAAAGAUACCGAAUCAUCGGACUUCUAUGAUCAGUUUCGGAACAUGAAGCCUUCAUACUACGAAACUGGGGGCCUGUGUUGACACCGAAUCAUCGGACUUCUAUAAUUAGUUUUGGAACAUGAAGCCUUCAUACUUCGAAACUGGGGGGCCUAUGUUAACACCAAAAUUUAGAAAUGUGCUCUGAAAGGAAGGUAUCGGCCGAUGAUGCAAAAAAAUAAUGAAAUCUCCUAAAUAAGGCUGAAGAAAGAAAAGCAAGAAAAGGAAAUCAACGCACACGGCAAGAAUUGAAUAAAAUAUUCUGGAGAUAGAGUUGGUUAGGAUAAGCUUGAUUAGAGAUAGAGUUGGAUUAUUUAGAGAUAGUAUUUUGAUUAGAAAAAAUUGUGUACAUGACUUGCCUUGUACGUGGUGCGUCAGAGGCCAUCCGCCCUAUAAAUAUAAGGGGUCGUGGCCAUUGUAAUUAUCAUCACACGAUCAAUAUACAACAUAUUUAUCUUUUACCUUUUCGGCUUCACGCCAUUGCAUUAGGAGUAGGAGUAAUGUAGCUUCUCGACGAGUUCCUUCUAGCAAGCUGGGCUGCAUCGACUUCGAUCUUCGGUGAGCUGCAAGUUCCGUCACCAGGUGUUCUAGGCUUUAACCACUGGGCGCAUCGCUGUGGUUUCGUCUAGUUUCUUCUACCAGUUACCGAGUAUCUUGGAUCUUUGACUUAUGGCACAUCGCUUCUGUCUCGAUCUACGGUAUUCACCAGUUAUCCCGCCUUGAUUAAGCUUGCAUCGGCUGAUAUGUAUCUGUUCUUUCAUCUUGCCGUUCAAUUUGCUUUAGUUAGCUUUAGAUCGGUUCAUCAUAGACAAUAGAUCAUUUAAUAGCAUGUUGCAUCUUGAUCUUAGCUAUCCUUCGAGUGUUGUUGGGAGUAAGUUCCGUUGUGAUUGGAUCCAUCAGCUAGCAGGGUUUAGAUUAACAUCCUGCUAAAUAUUUCUAGACUGCAACUACCGGGCACAUUGUUGUGGUUUCACCUAGAGAUAUUGGUGGUGACGUUAGUUUAGAUCUCAUCGGCUUGUGGCUCUAGCUAUGGCGGGGCAACAACUCAACAACAUCCUGUUUUCAAUCGACCGUCUAACUGAUAGCUAUUGUAAAUUAUAUUAAAUCGGCUGGAUGACGAUGAAUCACUCACAUUCAUCAAGGUACUGGAAUCGGCUUCACAGCCGAUAUAUUUGUCAUGAUUUAUUUUGUUGCACCAUUAUCGCUACUGUGCUAGGAUUAUAUCGGCCUAAUCGGCCAGUUUCCUCGGACUUCACAACGACUAUCAUCUCCUUGUCAGUUGAAUGGUCAAACUGACUGGCAUGCCCGCGCACACCACACGUGCCGAUUUGGAUUCUGCACUGGAAUUAAGCAGAUCUCCCAGGUUCUCAUGUGCUGAUGCAGGGUCCACCACCGCCAGGAUUUUGUGUCAACACCUUGUAAUCUUCCUUUGAUUUCCUCAAUGAUUCGAAGACAAUAACCUUGCUUGUAUAAAUGAUAAUUAUAAGGAGAACCUAGUGGAAACUGUGUAUUCAUAUUAGAACUACCUAUGGUUAAUUAGGUUAGGAAAGGAAAUCGAAAAUAGACCGUACCCACACUUACUUAAAGUUGUUGGGCAGUAGUAUGUAAUGCUUGUAAUUCUGUUACUCCAAGAAUUUGUAUAUGUGGUCCAAUGUAGACUUUGGUUGAUCCCAUAUCUGUUGUUGGUUAAAUAAGUGUUUCUGGCCAUUUCUAGCCGUUAGAACCGGAACUAAAGGGGGCUCUUUAGUACGGGUUGAUAUUACUAACCGGGACUGAAGAGCCCCCAUUACAGUUGGUUUUUGGACGCGGAACUAACAACUCCUUUAGUCCCGAGUCCAAAAACGACUGAGAUAGAAGAUCCUUUCUCUACCGUGAAUAUUGCCAGAAAGAAUUGAAAGAGACCGCUUGCUAAAAAUAUGUCAUAGAUGUAGACCAAGCUACCAAGGAGGUAGACCAAACAUGAUACACACCAUGCGUACCUUGCUGUGCAGACUAUGCAUAGACAAGACACCCGACCACAUGUUGGCCUCGGUCACAUCAAAAGAAUCAUGUAGGCCACCAAUAAACUACUUGAAGCGUCAUUCCGUAUCGUAUAUGCAUUGCCGGUUCAUCUGCAUUACAUUACAUAAAGUAGUAUUAACUAUUUGAAUAAAAUGAACCAAUUUAAAAGUAAUGUGUUGUACUCUACUAUAGAAAGCCCUAUCACUGUCGGAUCCAGAAACAUCAUUGUUGAUGGUCGUUAAGUACCAAGACGGUCAAUAUUCUCAAGAAUAAUGGAGAAUUGGCAUUUCUUACACACAUAUUUGGUUUUGAACAAUGUAGUCCCACAUGUCCUUGGAGAUUAUUUGGGUGUGGGUGAAAUAAUACAAAAAGAAGGAGAAAACACACUCCCAUGGUGAAGAAACAAAACUCCGACCAAUGAGAGAUAGCCACAGGGGCAGCACACGGAUCCAUGGGCCCACAAACCGCAUCAAACUGUCUUACCAAGGCGGGUAGCACCCACAACCAUGAUUAGGACCCACCUGGAUGUCUACCAAGAAGAAGGUUGUGAGUGGGGCCAGGAGGGGUUCGGCUGAAUCAUCUCUAGCUCCCCUCAUCCCCAGCUGGUGCAUGGCGGUGGUUAAUGGUGUCCCUACAUCGGUUAGAGGAGAUUCCCCCAAAUAUUCCUCCUGUAAACCACCUGUAUGGACCUAUACAUAGAGGGGUGUGCUCUCCAAUCCAACACACACCACAAGUUUAAUCACUCUCUCCCUCUUUAAUUUCCAUGUUUAUGGAGUUAGCCUAGAGUAGCUCUGCUCAAGGUUCCAAGUCCACUUGGAGUUAAGCAUAUGUCUCUUGUAUCGUUAUUUCCCAGAUUGACUUUAUGCUUAGUUCUUAUAUGCAUGAGUUAGUCUAAUAGCCUUGCUCUAUUGAUAUGCUCGGCUUAUAUGCUCGUAUGCUAGUCAUAUACCCUUGCUGCCGUAGUAUAGGCUUAUAUGCUCUCAUGUGUGCCUUUAGACCUUGCUACAAUAUAUACUUGUUGUGUAUACAUACCAUGUAUAGGCUAGUCGAUCUAUACCAUGGCAUUGGUUCAAUAGCCAUGUUUUUGGUGGCUCCAACCCUAGUCAGAAUAGCUCGGGACAGCUAGAGUGUUGUUAAAAAUGCAAGAGUGAUGGUUGGGUUGUUUAGCAUCGUUGGAUAUGGGUUUUCCCCACGGGUUUCUAAGAGUAGGCGGCAGCUAGUGACAGCCCUGUCCGUCCUUCGUAAUCCCCCCACAUUCAAGUACGCCAUAGAAGUUCAUAAAUUAGCAGUAACUACACCGGCAGACCGGUAGGGUAUUGUCUCCCUAUAGUACCUUGGUGCAUAGAACUAGGUCAUAUACACUGUGUGUCUAUGUUUACGCUGAUAUGAUCUGUGCAGUAUAUAGCAUGUAUAUAUGAACCUAGAGCUAACUCCUAGUCCAUUCUCCGUAGCUUAGUUAUCUUGAGAUGAUUCUUCUGUGUGUGUAACACUACCCAUCUUAUCAUUAUCCUUAAUCCUGUCUUGUGUAAUAUAUCUACUCAUCCUAUGAUAUACUCAUAUGCAUAGUAAACUAUUUUGACCUACCCGCCUUCCUUUGGGAAAUACGAUACCCUGGAAUAAUCCUAGGUGAAAUGCUACAACGGUAUAUCCAUGUGCUUACGGAAUUAUUCCUGACCAUUAAAUAUACCAACAAUCAUCACUAUCUAUUUUGGGCAUCGUUAGUGAAGGGUCGGCAGUGAUGGGCAUCCCCUUCACCAAUGGAGCUGGAACUGGCGGUGAUGGCCAUUAAAAAAAAUGGGACCCCACCCAGCGUACCCCGCAACCCGGCCGGCUGCGCCUCCCAUCAUCCCCGCCGGUCGCCCUUCCUCUUUGCCGGCCGAGCAUGGUUCCGGCCCUCGUCCCUACCGCCUCGCCUCCAUCGCGACCCCCUGCCGAUGCCCUCAUGCCUGGCCCCCCUCGUCUGGCCGGCCACCCUCCCGAUGCAUCCACCGGGGCCCUCGCACCACCAACCACCCUAGCCUAGAGAGAGAGAGGAGGAGGGAGGUGAGGCCACGCACCUCGUCCUACAACGCCGCUGUUGCUCCUCGGCCCACCGCGCCUCACCCCACACCACAGCCGCACCUCGCCAUCUUACCGGCCGCGACGCCCCAUCUCACCGGCCACCGUUCCUCACCCCCACAUCGGUCAUCGCUGCUCCUUGCCCUACUGCUGCUCUUUGCAGCCGCGAAUGAGGGGCGAGUGGAGGGGGAGGGGCGGGGCAGGAGGAGGGCAAGAUCCGGGAGGAAGGGAGAGAUUUUGGGAGGUGGAGAUGGAAGGAUAUGGCGGAAGGUAGAGAUCUAGAGGGAGAGAGCGGGGGGGAGAGGGGGGCAUGUGGGGAGAGAGCGCAUGUGGGGUGGGGCCGGGCUGGUGGGAUGGAAGGUAGAGGGGCCGGAGGGCGCAGUGCAUUCAACUGGAUUAAGUAAAUAUUUCGGAUUCGAGACCCCAGCUUUAUUAUCACCGCUGGUCCGUAGUACCAUUCGGUGCCGGCUCAUAAUUUAAUUUGAACCGGUGGUGAUGUUUUAUUAUCACUGCUGGUUUCAAUUUUCACCAUCGGAUCAUAUAAAAAUCCGGCGGUUAAAAAUCCGCUGGUUUCGAUGAAAACCGACAGUGAUAGGACGACUGUGAUAGUCUCUUCUCUAGUAGUAGUAUAUUAGUACCGGCUGCCGGAUGGUGUUGCCGACGAGUACUUCUCCAGGGGCGAUUCAGUACUGAUGUUAGCAAAGCUUGUUCUCUAUGAAUUUGGGGAUGGAAAGCUAGUUCUCUAGUUGUGAUUUGUUACAUAUAUCUCUAUGAUAGUCUAGAAAUUGCAUGUCCUUCGUUGACAUAGUUGAAGCUGCUUCAAGAAUUUACUUCGUGCAGUCGUGCAGCAUAUUGGAUUAUCACCUAGACAGGAUACAUAGGUGAAGCAUUGCAUGUGAUUGUGGCUGAUAAUUAUGCAGGACGCUGUUGCAAUCAACCAUCAAGAAGACUGGAGCGAUGGGGUUGCCUCAUCAACAAUUUUUAUAUAUGGCUGCAGUAUUAUUAAGCCCACGUCAAUAAUUUUUUCUCCGCAGCAUAUAUAUGGUUACUCAGUUCGCUGGAGUAUCGCUGUGGAAAAACAUACGUACUGCGCCUCGGAACUAACUGGCAUUCAGGCCAUCAACGACCAGAUAUUUGGGACAACCAACAAAUAGUAGGUGGUUCCUAAGUUGUAGUCGUAUGUACUAAUGCGCCUCGAUGGGGUUUUCUUCAGAUAUUUUAUUGCCGUUCAAUGAACAAGCAGAUACAUAACCUGUGCAGAAAAUUCCAUCUCCACGCAUGCCACUGCACCAACAAGAUCCUCAGUCGACGAUGAUGGCUCAGCCUGUUCCUUCUGCCACCAAAUCCUCAAUCUUCCCUCCAGCAACGGAGAAUGCACCUUUAGUACCUUCAGUAUCAGAUGUUGCAAUCGGUACCGUGAAACCGAGACUAAAAUCCUUACUUUGCAGGGGGCAAAACAAUCUUGCAAAUAUAUAUUUUGAAUUCCAACAAAAUUUAAGAAAUGUUAAAGAUGACUAGCUGAGAGUCAACAGACAAGAUAUGAUAUUAGGAAUGUGGGAGGAUGAAUGCAUUUGUACAGGGGUCAUACUAUUUCCAGACUCUUCUAUAUUUCCAUAUGACUACCUACUUCAAUGUCACGCGAGCCAUUCAAAAAGAUACAUGGUACACUUGUAUGUCUAAUCCAUUAUUGAUUAUUUCCUCUUGUCAUCUCUUACAAGUAUUUCUCCAUACUAUAGAAACGUGCAACACAUUUUUAGGAUAUGGACACGCAUGAUUAAUAUGCUUGGACUAGUAUACAGGUCAUCUUUGGAUGAGUACAUAUGAAUGCCAGGGAGGGACUGAUGGAUAUAAGGAAAAGGGACCAUGCAUAAAUAAUGACAUAUGUAACAUGGCAAUCUUCAUUGCCAUGCAACUCCUAUCAACAAUCAUGGAAUACAUACUACUGCUCCAGAAGGGUGGUGUGCAAAUUUAUUUUACCUCGCGGUGAAAAUCUCCAGAGCAGGCCUGAAGUUAAAAUAAGAGGCAGUCACUAUCGAUCAUGACAGUCUCGAAACUGUACAGCACUAUGCUAGUCCUAGUCCUCAUGUCGUUCGUGCUGUCGUGUAGCAUGAUGGAUUAUUAACUGGGCAGGACACGGAGAUGGCUAGCGAUGACAGAGGAUGACGUACAUGAUAUUCACCUCUGAAAUGAAGCGUAGGCUAAUGAAGCACAAUUGCAUGUGAGUGUGGCAGAUAUUUAUACAGGACAGUGAUUGCAAUAAUCGACCAUCGAGAUCGAAGACAGGGGCGAUGGGGUUGCCUCAUCAAUAAUUCGCGCAACCAGACAAGCUGCAGACUCAAUAUGGUACGAAGCUAUUUGGUCAGCCCACAUGCUCUGAUAUAACAUUGGCAUCUGCUGAUCUACAGUAUAUAUGACCAGAAAUAUUGUGCCACCUCAAUAAUUUUCCGAAGUAUCGUUGGGGAAGCACCUACAUACUAUGCCUCGGAACUAACUGACAUGUUGGCCUAGGCGGUCCAGGCCGAUUGGACAGGCUCUUCCUUAUGGCUCCUCACGUCCCCUUCGUUUCCGAGUAAUCUCAGGUGUUCUGAAGUUUUCUUUUCACUUGCAUGUGGACCUUAUAUAUCAAUAGCUUCGGGAUAAGAAUGCCUCUUGAUAACCUUCCAAAUCGUCGCUUGAUUCACUUUGAUUCCAAAAUCAUCUUGCCAUAUCUUUUGAGACUUAGGCCCUAAGGCAUCAUGGAGGAUUGCUCGCCAAGAAUGAGCACCAUUGGGCUCCUGAGGACCCUAGGCCGAUCAGCCUGGGCUCUAUAGGUUGAUUGGCCCAGGCCCUCUCUGGGCCCAUUGGCCUUCAUCUUUCUCUGAGUCGACGCUUAUUGAGGGCUUUGUCCAAUUAUAGUCCAUUAUAGUCUAAUUUCCAAAAAAAUAGAAUAUCCUCCAAAAUACAAUACAUUUGUGAAAACAGCCCAAUUAUUAGGUAUGAUCAAUAGUCUAGGUAUUAAAUUAAUGUUAUUAUUUAAGAUAAAUAGGGAUAAAGGGUGUCAUUAAUAACGAGCACCAACCAGCGUACCAGCUGUUAACACUAACCGAUGCUAAUAUGUACCCUUUAGUACCGGCUAUUUCACCCGGUACUAAACGAGACAAGAGCACCCUAACAGAGGUUAAUACCAUCCAUUUCAUGAGUAAAAUACUAUGAUUCAAAAAUAAUUCAAAUCCCUUAAGACAAUACCUAUCAAAUGAGUAGAUUGUAAAUAGAGUAAAACAAUGUCCUAAUGAAACGGAACACUUCUGGUUCGUGUAGAGCACAAUAUAGAAAACAGUAGGGUAGCUGUACGAUUGACACGUGGUCCAUUAAUUAUUGAGCCAUCACUAUGGACAUGUCUUCAUGAGUAGUGUACUAGUCAUGACACAUGGUAUGUAGUAGGUGGAGGUAUUGAGUUAGCCAUGCCAUGAGCACUUAGUUACAACAAACACUUUGCCAUUAUCGAGCAUCCCAAAUCACUACAAAAUCCAUAGUUUACCAUAUACUACAAAAUCUGAGUUAAAAUAAGAGCAUACACGGAAGAGUCCGAAUGCACCGGUUUAGGACCAGGCACAUUGAAUUACUAGAAAAAGUUAUCGGACAAGGUUUUGGGUAACCGCAUGAAAAAUGUUGGAUUUUACUGAACACUUAGUUACAAUUACCAUGCCGUGAGCACUUAGUCACCACAAACAUUUAACCACUUUAGAUCAUCCUGAAUCCCUAUAAAUUCUGUACCUUACACCGUACCAUGAAAACGACAAGAACAGAGACAGAUGCAGUGAAAAUCUCCAGAGCAGGCCUGAAAUUAAAAUAAGAGGAGGCAGUCUCUAUCGAUCAGGACACGGAGAUUGCUAGCCAUGACAGAGGAAGACAUGAUAUGAUAUUCACCUCUGAAAUGCAGCGUAGACUAAUGAAGCACAAUUGCAUGUGAGUGUGGCAGAUAAUGGACCAUCGAGACCAUCGAAUGGUAUGAAGCAUGAUUAUCACCUAGACAUGAUAUCCUAGACAGGACGGUGAAUUGUAAAAAGAGUAAUCUUGAUCAAAGAAUGUCCUAAUGAAACGGAACAUUUUUGGUACGUGUAGAGCACAAUAUAGAAAACAGUAGAGUAGUUGUACGAUUGAAACUGCAUCCAUCCACGUGGUCCAUGAAUUGUUGAGCCAACACUGUGGACAUGUCUUCAUGAACACCAUCUAGUGAGGACAGGAUGCAGAAAAAUAUAAAAACAUGUCAUAGGGAGGCAGACCAAUCUUGCAAGGAGGUAAACGAAACGUGAUACACGAUCUGCCUACCUUGUCGUGGAUACCCCAAGAGAAGAUGUCAUAGAGGUGCAGACCAAGCUAGCAAGGAGGUAGAUGAAACGUGAUACACGGCCUGCCUACCUUGCCGUGGAUAUUAGCCCUGAUAUCAUUCUAUUGUUCAAGGAAUAACACUCAAUGCUGCUGCUGCUGCUGACCUGGCUCCAUAAAGUUGUAUUCCUCUAGCCGCUUGCACUAACUUUAUCUGAAGUAUUAUUCUCUCUGCCCUGAUAUCUGAAGUAUUAUUCUCUCUGCUGACUUUGCUGAAGAACCUACAUAAUAUGUCUUGGAACUAACUGACAUUGAUUCACAGACAAACUCUACAAGGUGCUGUUGUUGCCAUAUUUUAGAGCAUCCCAAAGGACUAUAAAUAAUAUAGUUUACCAUAUACCGUAUACCAUUAUAUGUUAGCUAAAAUAAGAGCAUAACAUGUCGCAGGAGUCCAAAAGCACCGGUUGAGGACCAGGUACAUUGAAUUACUAGAAAAAGACAGGGGGCAAUGUUUAGGUAGCCACAUGAAAAACAUUUGAAUUUACUGUUCCAUGAACACUUAGUUACCAUGCCGGGAGCACCUAGUUAACACUAAAAUUUAGCCACUUUAGAUCAUCCCGAAACACCCUCAAUAGCGACAAAUUUUGAUUUAAAUGCCGUCACCAAUGAUCCUCAAUAGCGACGUGUUUAGGUUUAAAUCCCGUCACUAAUAACCCUUGGUAGUGACGUGUUUUGGUUUAAAUCUCAUCCCACUGAUCCUCAAUAGUGACGUGUUUUUAGCAACACACGCUAUGAAUGACUUGUCAUUGGUGACAUGUUAAAUGCGUUAUCUCAAUGGCAAAUCAUUGGUGACGUGUUUUAAAAAAACAUGUCACUGUGAGAGUUAUUGGUGAAGGGUAAUUAAAAUGCAUCACUAAUUUUGUAGCAUUAGUUAUGAUAUAAUUUAGUAACGCAAAAAUCUACCAUCAGUAAUGAGGUUUAGAGCCGUCGCUAAUGUGGGUUUCUUACGAGUGAUGCAAGCUCUACAAGGUGCUGUUGUUGCCAUUUUAAAGCAUCCCAAGUGACUACAAGUUAAUAGCAUAGUUUACCAUAUACCAUAAAAAUAUUAGUUACAAUAAGCACAUCCGCAUGUGGAAGAGUCCGAAUGCACCAGUUGAGGACUAAACACAUUGAAUUACUAGAACCAAAUGUAAGACAAAGAAAGGGGUCAAGGUUUGGGUAACCGCAUUAAAAACAUUGGAUUUUACUGUACCAUGAACACUUAGUUACCAUUACCAUACCUUGAGCAUCUAGUUACCACAAACAAUAAUUUAGCCACUUUAGAGGUUCCAGAAUCACUAUAAAUAAUAUACCAACACCGUACCAUGAAAACAUCAAGAAGAGAGACGGGUACAUGGACCACCAUCAAGUGAGUAGUGACAGCACGCACAAGAAUACCCGGAACCUGUUAGCUUGUCUGUAGUGAUCUGUUUUCUUCCCCAUAAAAUCCAUGAGUAUUGCCACAAAUAAUGAAAGAGGCUGACCAAGCUAACAAGGAGGUAGAGAAAACGUGAUACACGUAGGUUUCAUUCAAGACAUCCAUGUAAGAUUCAUUCAAAACAUUCAUGGAAAUUUCUUGUAAGUUUUCAUGUAAAUUUCAUUCAAGACAUUUGUUAGAGGUGUUGUAUAUAUAUACCUUAACGUACAUAUAUCUAUGAUUUCAUGGUUGUUAGUGAUGGCAGAUGAGGAGCAUGCAAGGUAUUUAAUGGAGCAGAUUAUUGCUAGUGGUAGUGGCUCCAACCUGCCCGUAACGUACACCAACGAAGAGAGCAGCCAGGCGGACAUGUUCCUCAACAUAUCCGGUGAUGGCAAUGAAGAGCCCGAGCAAAACCUUGCCGUGACGGAAGGUUCCAGUGAGGUAUAUAUCAUUUCCAUUGUUUUACCCCAUCUAUAAUUUCAUAUUCAUUAUUACUAUGUACUAAUUAAUGGAUCUUGAACCAUUAGCCCUCUAGAUCAACGAACCGAAAUAAGCCCCGAGGUCUUACAAAGAUAAUGCAGGGAAGGCAUCACAUCACGGAAGUCACAGAAGAGGGCACAUCAGUUGCUCCCGAACAUGUGGCAAGAAAGUACGUGAGUCAAACCGGGCAAUGUGCCCAUCAGCAUUAGGGAAUGAAAGGGCAAUAGAAAUGAUCUAUACACGCCCCCGGAUACACAAAAGGAUAUGCUGUGGGCAAAUAUCAAGAAACACUUCACAUUUCCCAAAGGAUAUGUUGAAAAAGAUGUGAAAGCGUGGAUGCUGAAGAAGAUGGUCACCGAAUUCCAGACAUUCAAGAAGAUGUUGGAUGUCAACUUCAUCAAGAAGGGUCGAACUCCGGGUUUCGAUGAGUGGCCAAAGUUAAGGGACCACUGGGAGUCAUUUGUCAAAUACAAGACGAGUGAAGGUGGUGCGAGUAAGGUUCGCAUCAAUGUUGCCAAUGCUAGCAAGGAGUACCAUCAUCAUCUAGGGCGACGUGGUUACAGCACUGCAAUUCCCAGAUGGCGCAAGAUGGAACAAGACCUGAUCGAUCGGGGUAUCGUACCAGCAACUCCUGACUGGCCUGAUCGAUUGAAAAAUUGGUAUUAUGCUCAUGAAGGCAAUCUGAGCCAACAGGAUGCGACAUUGGUCUUCAAUAAAACAAUACGUCAGAAGGCCGGAAGGCUUAUUAGGAACAUUGAAAAUGCUAAAUCUGGGAGGUUCAAGGUGGAUAGAGAGAAUGAUGAGCUCACAUUGGCCCUUGGGACUAUCAUCUCUAGCAUUUCCAGCUCCAGGACUGUCGUCACCACCGGGACCGUCGCUUCUUGCUCGAUCACAGUCUCCAUCUCCAGCACAUCCUGGUGGUGCGAACGAUGACGACAACAACACCCCUCCCUGCCCACCAUCGCCGGGACUAAGACCCGCAUCGAGUAAGGAACCUGCAGCACCACUGAAGAAGUCGCGACCACCGCCUUCCAAGCCAAGUCAGCAAAAGAAGAAAGCAGAGAAGCCUAAGCCCACUGAGAAGCCAACAACCGAUAUGACCGAUGCGGAAAGAUGGAAGGCACUCAAAGAAGAAUGCAGGGAGUGGUUCUGUAAAAAGAACCAAAGAAAGAAAAGGAAAGCAGAUGGAGCCACCGCCAGUAGAUCCAAGAAAAUUAUAAUUUUUUAUUAAGAUGUCAAAAGGAGCCAAGAAGAUGAUUCCACAACUAUCAAACUACGACCGGGCGUUAGUCAAGGCUGAUGAGAGUUAAAAAAGGAAAGGAAAGUCAUCUUCAAGUGGUACUGUCCCCCACCUCGAGGAUCUACCAGAAAAAGACGCUAAAAAGAUAGUAGCAAUGCUCUUGGAUCAACAAACACAUAUAUCAUGAGAUUCAUGCAAGAAACAGGUAUGUGCCUUGCUGAAUGUCUAGGGCAAGUUGAUAUGCUAGCUCUAGAGCCAUUUGUACCGAAAUGGACCUUUGAGCUAGGCAAGCCUCUAGUAAGGCCUGAGCUGGUACAGAAGCUAUCCACAUAGCUAUAUGAAUACCAUGAAUGGUACAUGAAGCAGUCUGCCAAUGAGAGGAAAAUGUUCGGUCUCAGGGAAAAACUGAUAUUUUUUUUCGGCGAAGGCGAGAAAGUCUUGUGAUGGAAUUCAAGGAUAUAUAUGAAGUGUACCAUCAGGAUGCCCUUGAUGUCUCUCUCAUCAGCGCCUAGGUUAUGUAAGUGUAUGUUUAUCUAUACGUAAUUUUUGUCUCAUAUCAUUAUUUCUUUUGCGUGCGUCACCCUACUAACUUCGUCUUCCAUUUUAUGUAGGAUGCUAAUUCAGAUGUGCCGCAUAGAAGCGCACUUCCAUGUUGGCUUCAUGGAUCCAUCCCUAGUUAACCAAAAGCAGAUACGGAAGUAGCUAGAGAAAAUGUUGGAGGUGGUAUACAACUUCCUGGACAAACAAAACUAUAGAAUAGGGGCAAUAUGUGAAGGUCUUGUAGGAUUCCUAGUGGACAAGGUGAUAAAUCCAUAAGGAGAAUAUCAUUACAACGGACGAGCAUUAGACACACUGAGCAACACCUAGACGGGAGGAUCCUAGGAAUGACCUAGACAGAUUUUGGUAUAAAUAGUAAUUGUGUAAAUACUAGUUUGAUUUGUAUAGGAAUAUACUAAGAAUUGUAUAUAUAGUAAUUGUACAAAUACUAGUUUGAUUUGUAUAAAUACUAGAUUGAUUUUAUUAUAAAAAAGUUUUAAGUCGUACGUGCAUGCGCCUACAAAGGCGCGUAUGCCCUUUAAUCCCGGUUGGAAAAACAAACCGGUACUAAAGGGGCUCGUGCCGCACCUGGCAUGACCGCCCCUUUAGUCCCGGUUGAACGACCCAGGACCAAAGAUCUGCCCCGUCUCAUAAAUUUUAUCCUGGAUGCUUUUUAGAGAGAUUUGAGGCCUAUCAACCAAGACUAAUAUCGAGUUUUCUACCAGUGGAACUAACUAACGUUCACAUGCUUCUGACAUUCACCUGCCAUUUGGUGUAGACAAGGGCACCCUAACAUAUGGUUAAUAUUAUUCAUGAAAGAAAAUCCUUUGAUUCAAAAAUACUUCAAACCUAAUAAUACAAUACUUCUCACAUCUGAAAAAUAUGAGAUGGCCCGACAGUAUUCUAACCGACGCAAUAAUAUUUUGAGGGCAGCACUACUACAGCGACCCUCAUUCGUGCCGGUGCUGGAACCCCUAUCACGACCCUGAUACAAAUGAGGGUACAUUAUUGUUGCCAGUGCUAGAAUAGCCACGAAUAACUUGCUAAACAUGCUGUUACACUCACUACUAGAAAAAUAACCUCUCGUCCUGAGGCUUAGUACCGGUCACUUUUUUGCCCAGUACUAAUGUUAGUAUUAGUACCGGAUCCAAAUUUGGGAUCCCCCAGAGACCCUUUAGUACCAGGUGGAGUCUCCACCCGAUACUAAAGGCUUUGUUACCGGGUGAAGGAUCCUCCCGGUACUAAUGGGGGAUUUUUAGUACCGGGUGGGAACCCCACCCGAAACUAAAAUCUCCCAUGCGGACCCCUCCCCCCCCCACGCGUUGCCUCUGUCCUCCCUCCUCCUCCUCUGAGUAGUUAUCCCUUCCUCAUCCCUCCUCCUCCUCCCACACGUGGGGUGAGGUGAGGUGGCAGUAGCAACGACAGGUGGUGUGGCGGGUCACGGCGGGCCGGAUGCGGAGCCGCAACGGUGGUCGGCGGGAUGGGGUGGGGCAGAGCGGCAUGGCAGGGCGGAGCGGUGGGACGGGGCCGAGGUGGAGGUGCCGGGCGGAGGUGGAGUGGCAGGACAGAGGCGGAGGCGGAGCGGCGGGUCGGCGAGCGGGUGGAGGGUGGCGACGAUGGGGCGGGCAGAGGCAGAGGGGUGGGUGGAGGGGCGGCGUGGUCCACCGGCGGGGGGGGGGGGGGGAGAGGGAGGCGUGGGGGGUGCGGUUGGUGAUUUCAAUUUUCUUUUAAUUUUUUAACACCCUUCAGUACCAGUUAUUUUAACCGGGUCUAAAGGGAUCCCCUCUUGUACCGAAUUGCUAGUACAGGAUGCACAACCGGUACUAGAGGGAGGUUCCCAACCGGUACUAGAGCCACUUUCCCCGGUAGUGACUUUUUCACCGAUUAGAAUAUGUUAUUAUUCUAAUCAGCUUUUGUUGAUCUCCUGUAUAAUUUAGUACCUAAUUCUACUAGCAAUUGUUAACGCCGACACGUAUUGGGUAUAGUCCUAACAGUGUCUAACUAGGGCACUACAUUUGUUAACCUAUAACUACUGGUAUCGAUUAGCCCUGGUUAGAAUACUGUCAAGGCAGCCAGAAAAAAUUGUUUGCCAAUUCUGCUAUCCAUCAGAACCAUGACUAGUACCGUAUUGUAAUAAACGAAUUACACAAAUAACUGAUGCACACAAAGGAAUAUGCACUCGCAUGUGCUAGACGUUCGUAGCAACAACAAAUUACUCUCAUCAUCAAUUAAACAUAAUAGAUUAAACAUUAACUGAACAUAGUUCAACACGUACAUCAACAAGACAAAGCAGUUUAAACAUCAACUGAACAGAACUGAAAACAUACAUCAACUGAUGAUAAACUUCGACAUGAACACAACACAUAAACAUCAACUUCAAUAGAACUUAAUAGAGCAUAUUAAACAACAACAUCGACAAAACAUAUAAACCCAGCUCAGUAGCUCAAGCAUCAACUAAAACUGCUGAAUUAAAAUAACAUAACAUAGUGUAGUUCAUCAUGAUGAUAACUAACAGAACCGAAAAGCCUAACUGGGUAAAAGAGCAAUUCAUUCAUAAUGCUUCAGCACUUACAUCACCGGAGUAUGCAACUGGCGGCGUCGCUUACGUCACUAUCACCGCGCUUGGCGAGUAAAGGAGGAGGAGGUGGCAUAGUAAUCGAAGAGGAGGCCGCUGUCGGCGGGUUUAGACUACGUGGAGGUGUGGGUAGGGUUAAGGUGGCUCUGUGGACGAGUAUAUAUAAGAGGUCUGGGCUUGUUAGAAUAAGAUAACAUUCUAACUGGCCAAAUUCGGAUCCGGUUAGAAUAAAUUGUUCUAACCAGCCUUAAUUCGAGGUGGUAAGGAUAAGUUAACAUUCUAAUCAGCUCUAUUUGGAGCCCGAUUGAAUGUUCUUGUUAUUCAAAAAAAGAUCAAGUUCAUCAAUUUUUUUCUAGAAAAACAUCAAGAUAAUUUAAACACGAUAUAUAACAAGAUUAAUACAUUUAAAAAUUGUUUUCUCCAAUAAUUAACGAUAUUUAACAAAUUCAAAAAAAAUCCAAAUUAACAGAACAUAAUAACCAAUUGUUCGAAAAAAUCAAAAUAGUCCACACAGUAUCAUAUUACAAAUUCAGAAAAAUAUCAAAAUAAUCCCUGAUCCACUCGAUACCGUCGUAGAACUUUGAAAUACUGAGCUUCUUGAUUCAUCUGAGGUCCACGUACUCGUCUCAGUAACACUAGUGGUGGCCAUGCAUCUUGUAGAUGUCUUCUAAUGAAUUAAGCUUGACAUACAAGGUCGUGCCUUCCACUCCUUGAGGAUUGCUUAUGACGUUUCUGCAAAUAACGAAGCAUUGCUUUCUCCAACAUGAUUAUUUUCUUCGGCUUAUCCCAAGGGACAACUAUGGUUUUCCCCUUGCCGGAAGAGGAACGAUGAUCGCCCCCACCAUCGCCACUUCCUCCAGUAGCAGAAGCCAUCUAUGUACAAAAAUUCAUACCUUAGCACUACAGAACUUGUUGAACUUGAAGACUGUGAUCAUUAGGCGAGCAUGUUCUCAACUAGGUGGCACCGCACUUCGUCAUGGAAGAGCUUCGAUUUUACAAAAAAGGGGACAUGAUCUUCCAUGAUGUCCGUAUCCGCUCUUUCUCGUAGAAUCAGAGCUCCUCCUUGAUAUACGAUGCUGCUCGGCGGAGAACAUGCUCACCGAGAUGAACACGGUAUGCAAGUUCAACAAGUAUGGAUUUGAAAAACCAUAUUGAAUUUGACAAGACAAACUAUCUAGAUAAGCGUAGCAUCAUUCUUAAACCACUGCAAGGAUACGUACUAUAUAUGACACAUCAAUCUCCCUCACAUUCUAGCUCAAAAUACCUCUCCAUUUUCUACUUCACAUUCUAGCAAAUAAACUAUCUAUCUCCAUUCUACACAUCAAGUUGUUUUAACUAAUACAAAUCGUAUAUAACAAGCAAAAUAUCCAUCACAUUCUAGCUCAAAAACAUGUAUAAAUACAAAUCCUCUUCAUUCUCCCUUUUUCUAACAAACAAACUCAUUUUUCUCCCUCUCCAAAGCAUAAAUUAAAGCGUAACAUGAGGAUGAGGUAGCAAACCUUCACAACACAUUGGAUGAGUGAAAUUCCCACGAAAAUGAGGGAAAAAAAUUCGGGCAGCACCUCCCUUGCUUCGGCACCUCUAGAGAGUAGGUGAAGCUCAGUUCUCUAUUUUUGUGGUGGACUAGCUUGGGCUGGAGGAGGAAGAAAGGCCUCUGUCUUGGUAUAUAAUGGGGGAUGAGUUUUUAUCCCAGUUAAAAGCUCCAACUGAGACAAAACGGCCAAUCUUUUGUCCCGGUUGGAGCCUCCAACCGGGACAAAAGGGGCACGCCAUCGACGCACGGGAGCUAGCCGUUACAACCGGGACUAAAGGGGGGCCUUUAGUCCCGGUUGCAAAUACCAACUGGGAUUAAAUCUCCCCUCCAUUUUUGCCUACCGUGGUGCGCCCCCUUUUAUCCCGGGUCAACUUUAAACCGGGACAAAAGGGGGCGUCGAAGAUCAGUUCUCUACUAGUGACCCCUCCCCACCUAUCUCUCUCCCUCCAUGCUCCUCGAUCUGUGCCUCCCCUCCCCUCCCCUUCCACUCGCCCCUCACCGACGGUAAGGAGCAGCGGCGGGGCGAGGUGAGGUGGCAGCAGCAAUGGCAGGUGGUGGGUCGCAGCGGAGCGGCUACGGUAGGCAGCCGGACGGGGCAGAGCGGCGGGGCGGGGUGGAGGCGGAGGUGGCGGGUAGAGGCGGAGCGGCGAGGCGGAGGCGGAGGUGGAGGCGGAGUGGUGGGACGGCAGGGCCGGGCGACUAGUAUAGGUGGGCGGGCGGAGGGCGGCGACGGCGGAGCGGGCGGAGGCAGAGGGGCAGCGGGGGCCGCCGGCGGGGGGUGUGAUCGGGGAUUUCAAUUUUUUUUAAAUUUUUUAACACCUUUUAGUCCAACUGGUUCUAAAGGGACCCCUCUAGUAUCAAAAUUGCUAGUACCGGUUGCACAACCGGUACCAGAAGUGGUUCCUAACUGGUACUAGAGCCACUUUCCCUGGUAGAGACUUUUUUACCAGUUAGAAUAUGUUAUUAUUUUAAUCAGCUUUCGCUGAUCGCCAGUAUGAUUUAGUACCUAAUUUUACUGGCGAUUGUUACCGCUGACACGGAUUGGGUAUAGUCCUAACAGUGUAUAACUACGGCACUACAUUUGUUAACCUAUAACUACUUGUAUCGAUUAGCCCUGGUUAGAAUACUGUCAAGGCAGCCAGAAUUUUUUUUUUUUGCCAAUUCUGCUAUCCAUGAGAUCCAUGACUAGUACCGCAAUGUAAUGAAUGAACUGCACAAAUAACUGAUGCACACAAAAGAAUAUGCACUUGCACGCUAGACGUUCGUAACAACAAAUUACUCUCAUCACCAAUUGAACAUAAUAGAUUAAACAUUAACUGAACAGAAUUCAACACGUACAUCAACACGACAAAGCAGUUUAAACAUCAACUGAACUGAACUGAACACAUACAUCAACUGAUGAUAAUUAUCGACAUCAACAGAACACAUGAACAUCAACAUCAAUAGAACUUAAUAGAGCAUAUUAAACAACAACAUCGACAAAACAUAUAAACCCAGCUUAGUAGCUCAGGCAUCAACUAAAAUUGCUGAAUUAAAACAACACAACGUAGUGUAGUUCAUAAUGCUUCGGCGCUUACACCACUGGCGGGUCGCUUACGUCGGCAUCACCGCGCUGGCUGAACCUCCGACACCCCCACCACGGCAAACGGAGGUGAUGGCGGAAGGUGAGGCAACGACAGUAGCUGGUGAGCUCCCGCUCCAAUGUCUCGCGAGUAAAGGAGGAGGAGGUGGCAUGGGAAUCGAAGAGGACACUAGUAGAGAAACGACUUUCCAUCCACCCCCUUUUGUCCCGGUUUAAAGUUGGCCCGGGACAAAAGGUUCACCAACCGGGAUUAAAACUCGGUCACUGGUGGGGGGCUCACCAACCGGGACCUUUUAUCCCGGUUGCAAAGGCUAGUGGGAAAAAAUUACUCUGAGAGGCCUUUUAUCCCGGUUUGAAACACCAACCGGGAUAAAAGACCCCCCCUUUUAUCCCGGUUGGUAACACCAACCGAGAUAAAAGGGUCAAGAGCCUUUUAUCCCGGUUGGAAACACCAACCGGGAUAAAAGGGGGUCUUUUAUCCCGGUUGGUGUUUCCAACCGGGAUAAAAGGGUCCCCCACGAGUUAAUACAAAAGGAUAGUAUCCCCUACAUAGUCAGAUGUGGUGUGUAGGUGGGAUGGUAAGGAAGCUACGCGCGAGGCUGGAGGUUGUGGGUUCGAAUCCCACGAACCGCGCACGCGCAUAUUUCGCGUGAAAAAUCGCGUGACUUGCGACUUGCGCGUGUGGGGGGGCCUCCUGGGAGCUCGGGAAUUUUUUUUUUUUGCAGCGCCGGCCGUGGGUGAACCCUUUUAUCCCGGUUGGUAUUACCAACCGGGAUAAAAGGGGGUCUUUUGUCCCGGUUGAGUGACCCGGGAUAAAAGACCCCCCCUUUUGUCCCGGUUGGUUUAUCCCGGAUGCAUUUUCGAGAUCUUUGCACCCUACCAACCGGGAUAAUAGGUGAGUUCUCCACCAGUGGGAGGCCGCCGCUGGCGGGUUUAGACUACGUGGAUGUGUGGGUAGGGUUAAGGUGACGGUGUGGACUAGUAUAUAUAAGAUGUCUGGGCUUGUUAGAAUAAGAUAACAUUCUAACCGGCCAAAUUCGGACCCGGUUAGAUUAAAUUGAUAUUCUAACCGGUCCUAUUUCUAGGUGGUAAGAAUAAGUUAACAUUGUAAUUGGCUUUAUUUGGAACCCGAUUGAAUCUUCUUGUUAUUCAAAAAAACAUCAAGUUCAUCAAUUUUAAUCCAGGAAAACAUCAAGAUAAUUUAAGCACGAUAUAUAACAAGAUUAAUACAUUUAAAAAUUGUUUGAUUCACAAAUUAACGAUAUUUAACAAAUUCAAAAAAUCCAAAUUAACAGAACACAAUAACCAAUUGUUCGAAAAAAUCAAAAUAAUCCACACACAUUAAUAUAUUACAAAUUCAGAAAUAUAUCAAAAUAAUCCCCGAUCCACUCGAUACCGUCAUAGGACUUUUAAAUACUGAGCUUCUUGAUUCGUCUGAGGUCCACCUACUCGUCUCAGUAACACUAGUGAUGGCCAUGCAUCUUGUAGAUGUCUUCUAACGAAUCAAGCUUGACGUACAAGGUCAUGCCUUCCGCUCCUUGAGGAUAACCAUCUUUGGUGAUCUUGAAAUGGCAGACGGUGGAUGUGCCAAAGGUACGUGACGAUCCUUCUAAAUGUAUGCCACCACAACUUCCGUCUGAUCGCCAUGGGUGACACCAAGAAGAGCUACCAUGCGGCAAGGGACGAACAAUUUAUCAAUUAGUGCCGCUGUCCAUCGCCAUCAUCUAAUCCAGCCAUAUCUUGUUGUAUAUUUAAGUAUAGAAAUUAAGAUUUAAAAAUAAACAGAAUAAAUUGAGAUCGAUUAUGUAUGUAUAUCAGAACAUUAGCUUUUGGAAAAAGGGCUUCGAUGGAAGAGAGGCACGGGGCAUAGAGACAACAACGAGUGACAAUAUGUCAGAAGAAUACCCGAUCACAAUUAUUGGCACACACAGCCGAUAUUUACAGUAGUCAAUACCCCUGGUAAAUAACCACACCAUCAAGAGUAAAUAGUGACAAUAUGCAGUAUAUACACGACAUAGCCUUGGCUGCCGUGGAAGCACCAGAAGGGAGACAAAUAACAGGGACCACUACAUCAAGUAGAUAGUGACAAUAUGCAAAAGAAUACCCGCGCCUGUUAGCAUGUGUGAACUGACCACACCACGAAACGUGAUACACGGCAAGCGUACCAAGGCCUUGCUGUGCAGACUAUGCAUGGACAACACAUGGUACCUGACCGCUUUUGGCCUCAGACACAUCAAAAACUGCAUCGUUCCACGUUGUACAUCCAUUGCUAGUUUAUCUAUAUUACAUAAUAUAUUAUUAGCUAUUUGAAUAGAAUGAACCAAUUAAAAAAUUACGUUGUAUUUUAGUACCGGCUGCAGGAUGGUGUUACCAACCAGUACUAAUUGGCCUGUAGGAGUGAUGGUUAUUAGACUUGGUACUGUUGUUAGCAUCAUUAACCUAAUUGUGCGCCGUAUGAAUUUGGGGAUGCAAAGCUAGCUCUCUAUGAAUGUGAGGGAUGGAAAGCUAGUUCUCUAGUAGUAAUUAUAUAUAUGACAGUCAGGAAAUCGAACACUAUGCUGCUACGAGUCACCAUCAUUUCCUUCAUUGACAAUCUGACAUAGGUGAAGCUGCUUCAAUAAUUUCCUUCGCGCAGUCGUGGAGCUUAUUGGAUUAUCACCAGGACGGGACACGGAAAUGGCCAGCAAUGAAGCUGAUUGCCGUCUGAGGAAGACUACAUACUUACCUAUGAAAUGAAGCGAUUGCAUAGACUAAUGAAGCAUUGCAUAUUUGCAUGUGAGUGUGGCAGAUAAUUCUGCAGGACAUGAUUGCAAUCCACGCACCAUCGAGAAGACUGGGGCGAUGGGGUUGCCUCAUCAAUAAUCACGUGGAUGCAUGCAUGCAUGUUCCCUCAACCGGACAAGGGUCUGAUAUAUGGCUAUAGUAUUACUGAGCCCACAUCAAUAAUUUCCGCUGGUGUAUCGUGUGGGAAGAAUCAACAUACUACACCUCUGAGUUCUUGGAACUAACUGACGUUCACAUGCAACCUCCACAAGGUGCUGUAUGCUUUUGACAUUCACCUGCCAGUUCGUGUAGAGGACACCCUAACGUAUGGUUAAUAUUAUCCAUUUCAUGAGUAAAAUACUGUGAUUCAAAAAUACUUCAAAUCCCUUGAGACAAUACUUCUCACUUGACUAACCACUAACCAACCCCGAAACCCUAACUCAACUCCGAACCCUAACCCCUAACGGCAUAACCACUCCGUUUUGCCGGCGAGAUGGAGGAACUGGCUGGAAGGUAGAGAGGGCAGCGGUCCAGGGUUGAAAACGACGGGCGAGCGCAGUAACAUGUGGAGGAGGAAGUGCCACGUAUUCGUUCACCGCUAUUGGGCAGCGACACACGACACGCCCAAUAAGAUCUUCGCACGGUAGAAGGACGUCAUGUAUUCAAUAAUGUUAUUGGUCCCCCAUGUGCAGAAGGGCGCGCGCGUAUGGAAUAACAAGUAGGGACACUGCAACUAAUCUACUCUGCUCGUCCAGUCCCUAGCCUAUAAAUAGAUGCCAUGCUAGCUCUUGUUGUGCUCACAAUUAAUCCGAUUACACACGAGCUUCUCUCCCUGGCCAAGACACAACCAUAGUAUGAUGAAGAACAUGGCACUAGCCGGCAAUGGUAUGAAGAAGUUAAUCCUCGCUGUUCUCUUACUGUGUCUAGUUAUAGGGCAGAUACAAGUGGAAGCUAAGAGCUGCUGCCCAUCCACCACUGCAAGAAAUGUCUACAAUACCUGCCGUUUCACGGGUACAUCCCGUCCAACGUGUGCAAAACUGUCAGGCUGCAAAAUUAUCAGCGGGAACAAAUGCAAGCCCCCUAACGACCACCUCACCCUUGACCCGGACACUGGUAAAUAAUAAAUUUAUCUCACUUGAUUUCUUCGUGAUUUGAGUCGUUAAUGUAUUUUCCAUCUGAUGAAACGUAUUGGUUUUGCAUUGAAGAGGAAGUUAAUGUGCUUAACUUCUGCAAGUUGGGGUGUGCGUCGUCUGUGUGCAACAACAUCAACGCUGGUAAGCAACUUUUGCUCAGACAGAGAAAACAAUAAUCAUUAAUUAGCGGCAGCUAGAAUCCUAUAAUCUAAUAUAUAUAUAUAUAUAUAAUUUUAUCAGCUCUGGGAAAUGAAGAGGCGAACGAUGCCGUUGAGAGUUGCGACCAAGCCUGCUCUAGCUUCUGCAGCGUGCAUGUUGGCAGCGCCACCGUGGUUGCUUAAGCAAAUGCAUCCAACUAGAUCGUCCUUGUGCUGAAUAAUUGGAUAUCGUAUCCACUUAAAGCUGCCUUGUGUAGUACGUCUUUGUGUCUCUCUUUAUAUUCCAAUAAGGUCGGUGAUCUUGAUGCCACACACUCAGAUGUGUGUUCAUCUCCAGAUACUACUCCAUGCUACCUGCCCUUUGUGUUUUGUUCAAUAACUGGGUAUCAUAUCCCAGCCAGUAUGCCGUCUGUUUUGUGUUUGUUUCCUUCUAGUUCCAAAGGGGUCAUCAUGAUGUUACCUUCUUUCAAUAUGGUGCUUUGCAUGACUACUGUUGUAUGGUACCAUCUUGUGGCCAAUAAGUACAUCUUAUCCUAUGACCUUUGCUAUGACCCUUUGCAAAUAAGUAGAAGAUUGUUAUAAGCGUCAAUACUCCGUAUAAAUUGAUCGCUGCUGUGAGUUCCCUUUCAGCUUAUCGUAGGCAUACAUUAUUGCUAGCACGGUAAAGCCAACCAACACGAAUGAUGAAGUAAACGUAGCGGUACUUCUGUAUACCAACACCCUUACUUAAAUGUACCGGUGUCAUUCCCUACUGGCACAUAUAUUCUUAUAUGCUAGCCAGCUUGUAAAAUUAACCAAUUAAAAUAAUUAUUUCAAGAUAGAAAUAACUUAUCGGUUUCUGGAAGCAUGUGUAAUGUGAAUUCAAGGACUCGACGGAAGUUGAAUCACUUCAUCUAUAUUGCUUUCAGUAUUUUGGGUAACUAAAUUUAACAUUUGCACAUACAAAUGUUAAAGUACAAAUGUUAAAUCUAGUUACCCAAGCAGAAUAUGAAGAUAGUUUAUAGUAUAUAUAUACUAUAUAAAUCUAGUUAACAUUUAGUCUAAAUGUUAAAUCUAGUUACCUAAAAUCCUGAAAGCAAAAUGUAUAAAUAUAUAUCUUUUAAGGCAGUAUAAGCUUCGAUUCCUAUUGCUGCUCUGUUAAAUCUCAUCUUUCGUUGUGGCCCAACACUCUAGUAUGCAUGUUGCACCAAGCUUCUUUGAGCCGCUCUGCCCUCUGAUUUUGCUGCGUAGGGGAAUCUUUAUCAGGUUGGGCUACUUCCAGUUGUGCGAUGUAAAGAUUCGUAUUUUCUAGAAGGUAGACAAAAAACUCGCGUUCUCUUAAGGCAACAACCGGAAGAUUCUGCAGCGCACAGGGCAUACCAUUAUUGUAGAAACGACCUUUAGUACCGAUCUCCAACCCCCUUUAAAACUGGUUUUGCAACCGGUACCGUUAUGUCGGUCCUUUAGUACCAGAUCAAAUAAGUACCGGUUGGUAACCAGUAUCAACUUGUUUUGCGGCCAAAAAAAUAAAGAAAAAAACAGUCAGAAGGCUCGCGCACACGCGCAUCACAUGAAAUAUGCGUGUGCGGGGUCCAUGGGAUUCGAACCCAUGAAAUCAAGCUGCGCGCGACCCUUCGUUACCAUCUCACCUACAUAGCGCAUAUGCUUUCCUGAAGUAACCCGUGGAGGAGGCUUUAGUACCGGGUCAUAACACCACCCGGUACUAAAAAUGACUCUUCAGUACCGGGUCAUAACACCACCCGAUACUAGUAUCGGAUGGUGUAAUGACCCGAUACUAAAAGGCCUCUAGGGACCCUCAAAUUUGAACCCGGUACUAAUGCUAAUAUUAGUAGCGGGUCAAAGUGCAGCCAGAACUAAAGCAUGGGAUGAAAGGUCAUAUUUCUAGUAGUGUAUAGUUGUUGUGAAGGACUGACUUGGCUGUCCUCUCUCUUCUCCAUCCCCUUGGUCUUACGCCGCCGCUCGCACGCGAGCCGGUGCCCAACCAGAGGAGUGAGAGCUAGGGGCAGGUUGGGAGGUGGGGAUAGUGACUGGUGGCCAGGGUGAUGGUUGAUCCUGGUGGGGUUAGGGUUUUAGGGUUUUCGAGCUUCCUAUGGUCGGCGAACCUAGAGGAGGAGCUCAACAUCAGCUGCAACCCGCGAUGGUGGUGGUUUGGCCGGCGCCCGAGGCGAGGCAGCGCGGGAGUGCUGCCGGUGGGUUGGUGUUGGCACUCAUUAUUGACAACUAUUUUGUUCAUAAAAUAACACUCAAACUUGCUGCUGCUGCUGCUGCUGCCAUCGCCACCCUAGCCAUAAUAUAAAGGCAAAAUUUGCUAAAGGACAUGCAAAAUGAUGCUAGUUUGCUGGCGGGCAUCGUUGACCUUGUAAUAUGCUACAAGACACUCUAGUUGUGUAUCAAUUUGCUGAAAGACAUUGCUAUGACUAAAAUAAUGUUUCUGGACUGAGUUGGAGAGAGAGAUGGAGUGAAAUGUCUGUUUUGCCCAUGACCCCACUGGUCAGAUCCUUCUUCUUCCACCCUCCUUUGUUCUUUCUUCAACCAUUACCCAGCUCCAGCGUGUUGCAGAUCUACGAGGGUGGCGGCCUGGGGCGAGGGGCAUCGCUCGCCCUUGGAGGAGCGCUGCGAGCGACGGCGCGGGGGCGGCAACAGCGCGUCAGAACCUGACUGUUCGUUAGCUCCUCUCGCUGCUGGGGAAGGAGGGGGAUGGGCCAUGGACGGGGUUCCCUUGAAAACCUCAGCGUCGAGCUCGGGCGGCUACGCGCAGGCAGCACUAGGCUGCUUCACGGGGAGGGGGCGCGGCCAAUCAUUGGCACCCCACUGGUCCAAUGCUGAUGAAGAUGGUGCCAGCGUCGUGUGAGGACAUCUCAUCUCCUCGAGUUCCAUGGCCAGCACAGGUGAGCUGCCGCUACCACAAAACAGAGGUUUCGUGAGAGUCAAAAAACCUUAUGAAAAUAGCUAAAACCAUCAUGAAAAUAAUCCGUGACAUGACACUCUCACGAAAAUCCUCUCACAAAUAUGGUGCCAUGAAAAUACCAUUUUCAUGAGAGUGAACUGUCAUGAUUUUAUUUCGUGAGAGUAUUUCCUAUCAAUGACCUCCACGAAAUACUUUGUGCCACCAGGUCUUCAAGAUCAUUUUCAUGAGAGCUGAACAUCAGGAAAAGUCCGCCACAAAUGUUUUUCUUGGAGCCCCUAACUCUCAUGAAAAUCAUGCGGGCCGCCACGAAAAACAGCAUGACCAAAUGACAAAUUUCAUUUUCAUGUGUUCAUACCGCCAUGAAAAUGGUCAUUUUCAUGAGAGUUGAUGAAACAAAAAAUAGUGCCAUUUUCAUGAGAGUUCAAGCAACCAGGAAAAGACACUAAUAAACAUCCAGAUCCCAUCCAGCACACAUCCAUGCACAUAUAUAACCCACAUAUUGCUCCAGCACACAUCCAUGCAUAUACAAGAUCCAAAUGUUAAUAUAGUAGACAUCCAUGCCUGAACUAGUCUGCCACACAAGUCAUUGAUGCUACAAAUCCUACAAUCGCAGCAUGUGCAUACAAGUCACAGAAUGAGACAAUGUACCCAAAACUAAAAGGUUAGCAUCAACUGUGCUUCAACCAAAGUUGUCAUCCCAACUCUCCUCUUCAUCCAUGCCAUUCUUGUCGUGGCCGUCACUGUCAGUCCCCAUGGCAUUGCCAAUGCUGUGCAUGUCUUGGUAGGAACCUACAUGUGAUGAACUAGUAACCUGCAAAAAGAGCUCAAAGGAUCUUGUUCUCAUAUUGUAGCUGUGAAAUUCUUACAAGUAGUGUUGCAAUCAGUUCACUUUGAACCAAAAGAGCUCAAAGGAUCUUGUCCUAAAAGUUCCUCAUAAAGCUUAUGGGUUUGCUGGUGGAACUGGAAGGGCUUGAUGCAGCAGAUGCCAUUCUGCAAUAGAGAAAAAUUUAGAGAGCAGUACUAGUUAAAAUUGGAUGCAGAAGAUACACAUGAAACUAGUAUUUAUACAAGUCUAUACAAUUAAAAUCUAAGGAGACUUAUCAUCGUUUUCAUGUGUUGUGAAUUAAAAUAAUGAAGGAUACACUGUUAGGUGAAAAUUCAAGAAACAAAAUUUUGCAUAGAGAUAAAGGUCCAACAUUAUUACAAGUUAAGGUAGUUUUAAAUAUCCUUGUAAUCUUCCUUUGGUUUCCUCAACGAUUCGAAGACAAUAACCUUGCUUCUAUCAAUGAUAAUUAUAAGGAGAAUCCAGUGGAAACUGUGUAUUCGUAUUAGAACUACCUAAGGUUAAUUAGGUUAGGAAAGGAAAUUGAAAAUAGAUGGUACCCACACUUACUUAAAGUUGUCGGGCAAUAGUAUGUAAUGCUUGUAAUUCCGUUGCUCCAAGAAUUUGUAUAUGUGGUCCAAUGUAGACUUUGGUUGAUCCCGUAUCUGCUGUUGGUUAAAUAAGUGUUUCUAGCCAUUUCUAGCCAUUAGAACCGGGACUAAAGGGGGCUCUUUAGUACGGGUUGAUAUUACUAACCGGGAUUAAAGAGCCCCCAUUAGAGUUGGUUUUUGGAUGCGGAACUAACAACUCCUUUAGUCCUGAGUACGAAAACAACUGACAUAUUUGUUGCUGGAUGGAAGGUCCUUUCUCUACCGUGAAUAUUGCCAGAAAGAAUUGAAAGAGACUGCUUGCUAAAAAUAUGUCAUAGAUGUAGACCAAGCUACCAAGGAGGUAGACCAAACAUGAUACACACCAUGCGUACCUUGCUGUGCAGACUAUGCAUUGACAAGAUACCCGACCACAUGUUGGCCUCGGUCACAUCAAAAGAAUCAUGUAGGCCACCAAUAAACUACUUGAAGCGGCAUUCCGUAUCGUAUAUGCAUUGCCGGUUCAUCUGCAUUACAUUACAUAAAGCACUAUUAACUAUUUGAAUAAAAUGAACCAAUUUAAAAGUAAUGUGUUGUACUCUACUAUAGAAAGCCCUAUCACUGCCGGAUCCAAAAACAUCAUUGUUAAUGGUGGUUAAGUACCAAAUAUGACGGUCAAUAUUCUCAAGAAUAAUGGAGAAUUAGCAUUUCUUAGACACAUAUUUGGUUUUGAACAAUGUAGUUCCACAUGUCUUUGGAGAUUAUUUGGGUGUGGGUGAAAUAAUACAAAAAUAAGGAGAAAACACACUCCCAUGGCGAAGAAACACAACUCCAACCAAUGAGAGAUAGCCACAGGGGCAGCACACGGAUCCAUGGGCCCACUAACCGCAUCAAACCAUCUUACCAAGGCAGGUAGCACCCACAACCGUCAUUAGGACCCACCUGGAAGUCUACCAAGAAGAAGGUUGCGAGUGGGGCCAGGAGGGGUUCGGUUGAAUCAUCUCUAGCUAGCUCCCCUCAUCCCCAGCUGGUGGGUGGUGGUGGUUGAUGGUGUCCCUACAUCAGUUAGAGGAGAUUCCCCCAAAUAUUCCUCCUGUAAACCACCUCUAUGGACCUAUACAUAGAGGGGUGUGCUCUCCAUUCCAACACACACCACAAGUUGAAUCACUCUCUCCCUCUUUAGUUUCCAAGUUUAUGGAGUUAGGCUAGAGUAGCUCUGCUCAAGGUUCCAAGUCCACUUGGAGUUAAGCAUAUGUCUCUUGUAUCGUUAUUUCCUAAAUUGACUUUAUGCUUAGUUCUUAUAUGCAUGAGUUAGUCUAAUACCCUUGCUAUAUUGAUAUGCUCGGCUUAUAUGCUCGUAUGCUAGUCAUAUACCCUUGCUGUCGUAGUAUAGGCUUAUAUGCUCUCAUGUGUGCCUGUAGACCUUGCUAUAGUAUAUACUUGUUGUGCAUACAUACCAUGUAUAGGCUAGUCGAUCUAUACCAUGGCAUUGGUUCAAUAGCCAUGUUUUUGGUGGCUCCAACCCUAGUCACAAUAGCUCGGGACAGCUGGAGUGUUGUUAAAAAUGCAAGAGUGGUGCUUGGGUUGUUUAGCAUCGUUGGAUAUGGGUUUGCCCCACGGGUUUCUAACGGUAGGCGGCAGCUAGUGACAUCCCUGUCCGUCCUUCGUAAUCCCCCCACAUUCAGGUACGCCAUAAAUGUUCGUAAAUUAGCAGUAACUACGCCGGUACACCUGUAGGGUAUUGUCUCCCUGUAGUACCUUGGUGCAUAGAACUAAGUCCUAUACACUGUGUGUGUAUGUUUACGCUGAUAUGAUCUGUGCAGUAUAUAGGAUGUAUAUAUGAACCUAGAGCUAACUCCUAGUCCGUUCUCCAUAGCUUAGUUAUCUUGAGAUGAUUCUUCUGUAUGUGUAACACUACCCAUCUUAUCAUUAUCCUUGAUCCUGUCUUGUGUAAUAUAUCUACUCAUCCUAUGAUAUACUCAUAUGCAUAGUAAACUAUUUUGACCUACCCGCCUUCCUUUGGGAAAUAUGAUACCUUGGAAUAAUCCUAGGUGAAAUCCUACAACGGUAUAUCCAUGUAAAUGCGGAUUUAUUCAUGACCAUUAAAUAUACCAACAAUCAUCACUGUGAGUUUUGGGCGUCGUUAGUGAAGGGUUGGUAGUGAUGGGCAUCCCCUUCACCAAUGGACCUGGAACCGGCGGUGAUGGCUAUUAUAAAAAAGGGGACACCACCCAGCGUACCCCACGACCCGGCCGGCCGCACCUCCCAUCAUCCCCGCCAGCCGCCCUUCCUUUUCGCCGGCCGAGCAUGGUCCCGGCCUUUGUCCCUACCACCUCGCCUCCACCGCGACCCCCCGCCGAUGCCCUCGUGCCUGGCCCCCCUCAUCUUGCCGGCCACCCUCCCGAUGCGUCCACUGGGGCCCUCGCACCACCAACCGCCCUUGCUUAGAGAGGGAGAGAGAGGAGGGAGGUGAGGCCACGCACCUCGUCCUACACCGCCGCUGUUUCUCCUCGGCCCACCGCGCCUCACCCCACACCACAGCCGCGCCUUGCCAUCUUACCGGCUGUGACGCCUCAUCUCACCGGCCACCGUUCCUCACCCCCACUUCGGUCGUCGCCGCUCCUUGCCCUACCGCUGCUCUUUGCCGCUGCGAAUGAGCGCCGAGUGGAGGAGGAGGGAUGGGGCAGGAGGAGGGCAAGAUCCGGGAGGAAGGGAGAGAUCUCGGGAGGUGGAGAUGGAAGGAUAUGGCGGAAGGGAGAGAUCCAGAGGGAGAGAGCAGGGGAGAGAGGGGGGCGUGUGGGGAGAGAGCGCGUGUGGGGUGGGGCCGGGCUGGUGGGAUGGAAGGGAGAGGGGCUAGACGGGCGCAGUGCAUUCAACUGGAUGAAGUAAAUAUUUUGGAUUCGAGACCCCAGCUUUAUUAUCACCGCUGGUCCGUAGUACCAUCCGGUGCCUGCUCGUAAUUUAAUUUGAAUCUGCGGUGAUGUUUUAUUAUCACCAUCGGAUCAUAUAAAAAUCCGGCGGUUAAAAAUCCGCUGGUUUCGAUGAAAACCGACGGUGAUAGGAUGACUGUGAUAGUCUCUUCUCUAGUAGUGGUAUAUUAGUACCGGCUGCCGGAUGGUGUUGCCGACCAGUACUUCUCCGGGGGCGAUUCAGUACUGCUGUUAGCAAAGCUUGUUCUCUAUGAAUUUGGGGAUGGAAAGCUAGUUCUCUAGUUGUGAUUUGUUACAUAUAUAUCUAUGAUAGUCUAGAAAUUGCAUGUCCUUCGUUGACAUAGUUGAAGCUGCUUCAAGAAUUUACUUCGUGCAGUCGUGCAGCAUAUUGGAUUAUCACCUAGACAGGAUACAUAGGUGAAGCAUUGGAUGUGAUUGUGGCCGAUAAUUAUGCAGGACGCUGUUGCAAUCAACCACCAAGAAGUCUGGAGUGAUGGGGUUGCCUCAUCAAUAAUUUUUAUAUAUGGCUGCAGUAUUAUUAAGCCCACGUCAAUAAUUUUUUGUCCGCACCAUAUAUCGAUGGGGUUGCCUCAUCAAUAAUUCGCGCAACCAGACAAGCUGCAGACUCAAUAUGGUACGAAGCUAGUUGCUCAGCCCACAUGCUCUGAUAUAACAUUGACAUCUGCUGAUCUACAGUAUAUAUGACCAGAAAUAUUGUGCCCACCUCAAUAACUUUCUGAAGUAUCGUGGGGAAGAACCUACGCGUACUAUGCCUCGGAACUAACUGACAUAUCGGCCCAGGCGGUCUAGGCCGAUUGGACUGGCUCUUCCUUGUGGCUUCUCACAUCCCCUUCGUCCCCAAGUAAUUUCAGGUGUUCUGUAGUUUUCUUUUCACUUGCAUCUGAGCCUCCUAUAUCAAUAGCUUCGGGAUAAGAAUGCCUCUUGAUAACCUUCCAAAUCCUCGCUUGAUUCACAUUGAUUCCGAAAUCAUCUUGCCAUAUCUUCAGAGACUUAGGUCCUAAGGCAUCAUGGAGGAUUGCUCGCCAAGAAUGAGCACCAUUGGGCUCCUGAGGACCCUAGGCCGAUCAGCCCGGGCUCUAUAGGUCGAUUGGCCCAGGCCCUCUCUGGGCCUGUUGGCCUUCAUCUUUCUUUGAGUCGACGCUUAUUCAGGGCUUUGUCCAAUUAUAGUCCAUUAUAGUCUAAUUUCCUAAAAAACAGAAUGUCCUCCAAAAUACAAUGCAUAUGUGAAAACAACCCAAUUAUUAGGUAUGAUCAAUAGUUUAGGUAUUAAAUUAAUAUUAUUAUUUAAGAUAAACAGGGGUAAAGGGUGUCAUUAAUAACAAGCGCCAACAAGCGUCCUAGCUGUUCAAUAAAUUUUUUCUAGUACCGAUUGGUAACACUAACCGGUGCUAAUAUGUACCCUUUAUUACCGGUUAUUUUACCAGGUACUAAAGGAGACAAGAGCAUCCUAACAUAAGGUUAAUAUCAUCCAUUUCAUGAGUAAAAUACUAUGAUUCAAAAAUAAUUCAAAUCCCUUAAGACAAUACCUAUCAAAUGAGUAAAUUGUAAAUAGAGUAAUCUUGAUCAAACAAUGUCCUAAUGAAACGGAACACUUCUGGUUCGUGUAGAGCACAAUAUAGAAAACAGUAGGGUAGCUGUAUGAUUGACACGUGGUCCAUUAAUUAUUGAGCCAACACUAUGGACAUGUCUUCAUGAGUAGUGUACUAGUCAUAAUACAUGGUAUGCAGUAGGUGGAGGUAUUGACUUAGCCAUGCUAUGAGCACUUAGUUACAACAAACACUUUGCCAUUAUCGAGCAUCCCAAAUCACUACAAAAUCCAUAGUUUACCAUAUACUACAAAAUCUGAGUUAAAAUAAGAGCAUACACGGAAGAGUCCGAAUGCACGGCACAUUGAAUUACUAGACAAAAUUUAUGGGACAAGGUUUUGGGUAACCGCAUGAAAAAUAUUGGAUUUUACUGAACACUUAGUUACAAUUACCAUGCCCGUGAGCACUUAGUCACCACAAACAUUUAACCACUUUAGAUCAUCCUGAAUCCCUAUAAAUUCUAUACCUUACACCGUACCAUGAAAACGACAAGAACAGAGACAGAUGCGGUGAAAAUCUCCAGAGCAAGCCUGAAAUUAAAAUAAGAGGAGGCAGUCACUAUCGACAGGACACGGAGAUUGCUAGCCAUGACAGAGGAAGACAUGAUAUGAUAUUCACCUCUGAAAUGCAGCGUAGACUAAAUGAAGCACAAUUGCAAGUGAGUGUGGCAGAUAAUGGACCAUCGAGACCAUCGAAUGGUAUGAAGCAUGAUUAUCACCUAGACAUGAUAUCCUAGACAGGACGGUGAAUUGUAAAAAGAGUAAUCUUGAUCAAAGAAUGUCCUAAUGAAACGGAACAUUUUUGGUACGUGUAGAGCAAAAUAUAGAAAACAGUAGAGUAGUUGUACGAUUGAAACUGCAUCCAUCGACGUGGUGCAUGAAUUGUUGAGCCAACACUGUGGACAUGUCUUCAUGAACACCAUCUAGUGAGGACAGCAUGCAGAAAAAUAUAAAAACAUGUCAUAGGGAGGCAGACCAAUCUUGCGAGGUAGACGAAACGUGAUACACGAUCUGCCUACCUUGUCGUGUGGAUACCCCAAGUGAAGAUGUCAUAGAGGUGCAGACCAAGCUAGCAAGGAGGUAGAUGAAACGUGAUACACGGCCUGCCUACCUUGCCGUGGAUAUUAGUCCUGAUAUCAUUCUAUUGUUCAAGGAAUAACACUCAAUGCUGCUGCUGCUGCUGACCUGGCUCCAUAAAGUUAUAUUCCUCUAGCCGCUUGCACUAACUUUAUCUGAAGUAUUAUUCUCUCUGCACUGUAUAUAUGGUUACGGAGUUUGCUGGAGUAUCCGGGGGGAAGAACCUACAUAAUAUGUCUUGGAACUAACUGACAUUGAUUCACAGACAAGGUGCUGUUGUUGACAUGGUACAGUAAAUAAUAUAGUUUACCAUAUACCGUAUACCAUUAUAUGUUAGCUAAAAUAAGAGCAUAACAUGUCGCAGGAGUCCAAAAGCACCGGUUGAGGACCAGGUACAUUAAAUUACUAGAAAACAAAAGGGGACAAGGUUUAGGUAGCCACAUGAAAAACAUUUGAAUUUACUGUACCAUGAACACUUAGUUACCAUGCCGGGAGCACCUAGUUAACACUAACAUUUAGCCACUUUAGAUCAUCCCGAAACACCAAUGACCCUCAAUAGCGACAAAUUUUGGUUUAAAUGCCGUCACCAAUGAUCCUCAAUAGUGACGUGUUUAGGUUUAAAUCCCAUCACUAAUAACCCUUGGUAGUGACGUGUUUUGGUUUAAAUCUCAUCACCACUGAUCCUCACUAGUGACGUGUUUUUAGCAACACACGUUAUGAAUGACUUGUCAUUGGUGACAUGUUAAACGCGUUAUCUCAAUGGCAAAUCAAUGGUGACGUGUUUAAAAAAACAUGUCACUGUGAGAGUUAUUGGUGAAGGGUAAUUAAAAUGCAUCACUAAUUUUGUAGCAUUAGUUAUGAUAUAAUUUUGUAACGCAAAAAUCUACCAUAGUAAUGAGGUUUAGAGCCAUCACUAAUGUGGGUUUCUUAUCGUAGUGAUGCAAGCUCUACAAGGUGCUGUUGUUGCCAUUUUAAAGCAUCCCAAAUGACUACAAGAGUCCGGUUGAGGACUAAACAAAUUGAAUUACUAGAACCAAAUGUAUGUCCAGAACAAAGAAAGGGGUCAAGGUUUGGGUAACCGCAUUAAAAACAUUGAAUUUUACUGUACCAUGAACACUUAGUUACCAUUACCAUGCCUUGAGCACCUAGUUACCACAAACAUUAAUUUAGCCACUUUAGAGGUUCCACAAUCACUAUAAAUAAUAUACCAACACCGUACCAUGAAAACAUCAAGAAGAGAGACGGGUACAUGGACCACCAUCAAGUGAGUAGUGACAGCACGCACAAGAAUACCCGGAACCUUUUAGCUUGUCUGUAGUGAUCUGUUUUCUUCGCCACAAAUAAUGAAAGAGGCUGACCAAGCUAGCAACGAGGUAGAGCAAACGUGAUACACGUAGGUUUCAUUCAAGACAUCCAUGUAAGAUUCAUUCAAAACAUUCAUGGAAAUUUCUUGUAAGUUUUCAUGUAAAUUUCAUUCAAGACAUUUGUUAGAGGUGUUGUAUAUACACUUAACGUACAUAUAUCUAUGAUUUCAUGGUUGUUAGUGAUGGCAGAUGAGGAGCAUGCAAGGUGUUUAAUGGAGCAGAUUAUUGCUAGUGGUAGUGGCUCCAACCUGCCCGUAACGUACACCGACGAAGAGGGCAGCCAGGCGGACAUGUUCCUCAACAUGUCCGGUGAUGGCAAUGAAGAGCCCGAGCAAAACCUUGCCGUGACGGAAGGUUCCAUCGAGGUAUAUAUCAUUUCCAUUAUUUUACCCCAUCUAUAAUUUCAUAUUCAUUAUUACUAUGUGCUAAUUAAUGAAUCUUGAACCGUUAGUCCUCUAGAUCAACGAACCGAAAUAAGCCCCGAGGUCUUACAAAGAUAAUGCAGGGAAGGCUUCACAUCAUGGAAGUCACAGAAGAGGGCACAUCGGUUGCUCCCGAACAUGUGGCAAGAAAGUACGUGAGUCAAACCGGGGCAAUCGUAAGGGACAACAUGCCCAUCAGCAUCAGGGAAUGAAAGAGCAAUAGAAAUGAUCUAUACGCACCCCCGGAUACACAAAAGGAUAUGUUGUGGGCAAAUAUCAAGAAACACUUCACAUUUCCCAAAGGAUAUGUUGAAAAAUAUGUGAAAGCGUGGAUGUUGAAGAAGAUGGCCACCCAAUUCCAGACAUUCAAGAAGAUGUUGGAUGCCAACUUCAUCAAGAAGGGUCGAACUCCGGGUUUCAAUGAGUGGCCAAAGUUAAGGGACCACUGGGAGUCGUUUGUCGAAUACAAGACGAGCGAAGGUGGUGCGAGUAAGGUUCACAUCAAUGUUGCCAAUGCUAGCAAGGAGUACCAUCAUCAUCUAGGGCGACGUGGUUACAGCUCUGCAAUUCCCAGAUGGCGCAAGAUGGAACAAGACCUGAUCGAUCGGGGUAUCGUACCAGCAACUCUUGACUGGAUCGAUUGAAAAAUUGGUAUUAUGCUCAUGAAGGCAAUCUGAGCCAAGAGGAUCCGACAUUGGUCUUCAAUAAAACAAUACGUCAGAAGGUCGGAAGGCUUAUUAGGAACAUUGAAGAUGCUAAAGCUGGGAGGUUCAAGGUGGAUAGAGAGAAUGAUGAACUCACAUUGGCCCUCGGGACUGUCAUCUCUAGCACUUCCAGCUCCAGGACUAUCGUCACCACCGGGACCGUCGCUUCCUGCUCGAUCACAGUCUCCAUCUCCAGCACAUCCUGGUGGUGCGAGCGACGACGACAACAACACCCCUCCCUGCCCACCAUUGCCGGGACUAAGACCCGCAUUGAGUAAGGAACCUGCAACACCACUGAAGAAGUCGCGACCACCACCUUCAAGGCAAGUCAGCAAAAGAAGAAAGCAGAGAAGCCUAAACCCACUGAGAAGCCAGCGACUGAUAUGACCGAUGCGGAAAGAUGGAAGGCACUCAAAGAAGAAUGCAGGGAGUGGUUCAGCGAAGGCGAAGGUGAGAAAGUCGUAUGAAUCGAAUUCAAGGAUAUAUAUGAAGUGAACCAUCAGGAUGCCCUUGAUGUCUCUCUCAUCAGCGCCUAGGUUCUGUAAGUGUAUGUUUAUCUAUAAGUAAAUUUUGGCUCAUAUCAUUAUUUUUUUUGCGUGCGUCACCCUACUAACUUCGUCUUCCAUUUUAUGUAGGAUGCUAAUUCAGACGUGCCGCAUAGAAGCGUACUUCCAUGUUGGAUUCAUGGAUCCAUCCCUAGUUAACCAAAAGCCGAUACGGAAGUAGCUAGAGAAAACGUUGGAGGUGGUGUACAACCUCCUGGACAAACUAAACUACAGAAUAGGGGCAAUAUGUGAGGGUCUUGUAGGAUUCCUAGUGGACGAGGUGAUAAAUCCAUAAGGAGAAUAUCAUUCCAACGGACGAGCAUUAGACACACUGAGCAACACCUAGAUGGGAGGAUCCUAGGAAUGACCUCGACAGAUUUUGGUAUAAAUAGUAAUUGUGUAAAUACUAGUUUGAUUUGUAUAGGAAUAUACUAAGAAUUGUAUAUAUAGUAAUUGUACAAAUACUAGUUUGAUUUGUAUGAAUACUAGAUUGAUUUUAUUAUAAAAAAGUUUUAAGUCGUACGUGCAUGCGCCUACAAAGGCGCGGAUGCCUUUUAAUCCCAGUCGGAAAAACAAACUGGUACUAAAGGGGCUCGUGCCGCACCUGGCAUGACCACCCCUUUAGUCCCGGUUGAACGACCCAGGACUAAAGAUCUCCGCGUCUCAAAAAUUUUAUCUCGGAUGCUUUUUAGAGAGAUUUGAGGCCUAUCAACCAAGACUAAUAUCGAGUUUUCUACCAGUGAAACUAACUAACGUUCACAUGGUUUUGACAUUCACCUGCCAUUUGGUGUAGACAAGGGCACCCUAACAUAUGGUUAAUAUUAUUCUUGAAAGAAAAUCCUUUGAUUCAAAAUACUUCAAACCUAAUAAUACAAUACUUCUCACAUCUGAAAAAUAUGAGACGGCCCGACAGUAUUCUAAUCGACGCAAUAAUAUUUUGAGGGCAGCACUACUACAGCGACCCUCAUUCGUGCCGGUGCUGGGACUCCUAUCACGACCCUGAUACAAAUGAGGGUACAUUAUUGGUGCCAGUGCUAGAACAGCCACGAAUAACUUGCUAAACGUGCUGUUACACUCACUACAGGGACCAAGAAGGUAGAUAAAUUACACGACAUAGCCUUGGUUGCCGUGGAAGCGCCAAGAAGGGAGACAAAUUACAGGGACCACACCAUCAAGUAGAUAGUGACAAUAUGCAAAAGAAUACCCGCGCCUGUUAGCAUGUGAACUGACCACACCACGAAACGUGAUACACGGCAAGCGUACCAAGGCCUUGCUGUGCAGACUAUGCAUGGACAACACAUGGUACCUGACCGCUUUUGGCCUCAGACACAUCGAAAAACUGCAUCGUUCCACGUUGUACAUCCAUUGCUAGUUUAUCUAUAUUACAUAAUAUAUUAUUAGCUAUUUGAAUAGAAUGAACCAAUUAAAAAAUUGCGUUGUAUUUUUAGUACCGGCUGCAGGAUGGUGUUACCAACCAGUACUAAUUGGCCUGUAGGAGUGAUGGUUAUUAGACUUGGUACUGUUGUUAGCAUCAUUAACCUAAUUGUGCGCCGUAUGAAUUUGGGGAUGCAAAGCUAGCUCUCUAUGAAUGUGAGGGAUGGAAAGCUAGUUCUCUAGUAGUAAUUAUAUAUAUGACAGUCAAGAAAUCGAACACUAUGCUGCUACGAGUCACCAUCAUUUCCUUCAUUGACAAUCUGACAUAGGUGAAGCUGCUUCAAUAAUUUCCUUCGCGCAGUCGUGGAGCUUAUUGGAUUAUCACCAGGACGGGACACGGAAAUGGCCAGCAAUGAAGCUGAUUGCCGUCUGAGGAAGACUACAUACUUACCUAUGAAAUGAAGCGAUUGCAUAGACUAAUGAAGCAUUGCAUAUUUGCAUGUGAGUGUGGCAGAUAAUUCUGCAGGACAUGAUUGCAAUCCACGCACCAUCGAGAAGACUGGGGCGAUGGGGUUGCCUCAUCAAUAAUCACGUGGAUGCAUGCAUGCAUGUUCCCGCAACCGGACAAGGGUCUGAUAUAUGGCUAUAGUAUUACUGAGCCCACAUCAAUAAUUUCCACUGGUGUAUCGUGUGGGAAGAAUCAACAUACUACACCUCGAGUUCUUGGAACUAACUGACGUUCACAUGCAACCUCCACAAGGUGCUGUAUGCUUUUGACAUUCACCUGCCAGUUCGUGUAGAGAAGGACACCCUAACGUAUAGUUAAUAUUAUCCAUUUCAUGAGUAAAAUACUGUGAUUCAAAAAUACUUCAAAUCCCUUGAGACAAUACUUCUCACUUGACUAACCACUAACCAACCCCGAAACCCUAACUCAACUCCGAACCCUAACCCCUAACGGCAUAACCACUCCGUUUUGCCGGCGAGAUGGAGGAACUGGCUGGAAGGUAGAGAGGGCAGCGGUCCAGGGUUGAAAACGACGGGCGAGCGCAGUAACAUGUGGAGGAGGAAGUGCCACGUAUUCGUUCACCGCUAUUGGGCAGCGACACACGACACGCCCAAUAAGAUCUUCGCACGGUAGAAGGACGUCAUGUAUUCAAUAAUGUUAUUGGUCCCCCAUGUGCAGAAGGGCGCGCGCGUAUGGAAUAACAAGUAGGGACACUGCAACUAAUCUACUCUGCUCGUCCAGUCCCUAGCCUAUAAAUAGAUGCCAUGCUAGCUCUUGUUGUGCUCACAAUUAAUCCGAUUACACACGAGCUUCUCUCCCUGGCCAAGACACAACCAUAGUAUGAUGAAGAACAUGGCACUAGCCGGCAAUGGUAUGAAGAAGUUAAUCCUCGCUGUUCUCUUACUGUGUCUAGUUAUAGGGCAGAUACAAGUGGAAGCUAAGAGCUGCUGCCCAUCCACCACUGCAAGAAAUGUCUACAAUACCUGCCGUUUCACGGGUACAUCCCGUCCAACGUGUGCAAAACUGUCAGGCUGCAAAAUUAUCAGCGGGAACAAAUGCAAGCCCCCUAACGACCACCUCACCCUUGACCCGGACACUGGUAAAUAAUAAAUUUAUCUCACUUGAUUUCUUCGUGAUUUGAGUCGUUAAUGUAUUUUCCAUCUGAUGAAACGUAUUGGUUUUGCAUUGAAGAGGAAGUUAAUGUGCUUAACUUCUGCAAGUUGGGGUGUGCGUCGUCUGUGUGCAACAACAUCAACGCUGGUAAGCAACUUUUGCUCAGACAGAGAAAACAAUAAUCAUUAAUUAGCGGCAGCUAGAAUCCUAUAAUCUAAUAUAUAUAUAUAUAUAUAAUUUUAUCAGCUCUGGGAAAUGAAGAGGCGAACGAUGCCGUUGAGAGUUGCGACCAAGCCUGCUCUAGCUUCUGCAGCGUGCAUGUUGGCAGCGCCACCGUGGUUGCUUAAGCAAAUGCAUCCAACUAGAUCGUCCUUGUGCUGAAUAAUUGGAUAUCGUAUCCACUUAAAGCUGCCUUGUGUAGUACGUCUUUGUGUCUCUCUUUAUAUUCCAAUAAGGUCGGUGAUCUUGAUGCCACACACUCAGAUGUGUGUUCAUCUCCAGAUACUACUCCAUGCUACCUGCCCUUUGUGUUUUGUUCAAUAACUGGGUAUCAUAUCCCAGCCAGUAUGCCGUCUGUUUUGUGUUUGUUUCCUUCUAGUUCCAAAGGGGUCAUCAUGAUGUUACCUUCUUUCAAUAUGGUGCUUUGCAUGACUACUGUUGUAUGGUACCAUCUUGUGGCCAAUAAGUACAUCUUAUCCUAUGACCUUUGCUAUGACCCUUUGCAAAUAAGUAGAAGAUUGUUAUAAGCGUCAAUACUCCGUAUAAAUUGAUCGCUGCUGUGAGUUCCCUUUCAGCUUAUCGUAGGCAUACAUUAUUGCUAGCACGGUAAAGCCAACCAACACGAAUGAUGAAGUAAACGUAGCGGUACUUCUGUAUACCAACACCCUUACUUAAAUGUACCGGUGUCAUUCCCUACUGGCACAUAUAUUCUUAUAUGCUAGCCAGCUUGUAAAAUUAACCAAUUAAAAUAAUUAUUUCAAGAUAGAAAUAACUUAUCGGUUUCUGGAAGCAUGUGUAAUGUGAAUUCAAGGACUCGACGGAAGUUGAAUCACUUCAUCUAUAUUGCUUUCAGUAUUUUGGGUAACUAAAUUUAACAUUUGCACAUACAAAUGUUAAAGUACAAAUGUUAAAUCUAGUUACCCAAGCAGAAUAUGAAGAUAGUUUAUAGUAUAUAUAUACUAUAUAAAUCUAGUUAACAUUUAGUCUAAAUGUUAAAUCUAGUUACCUAAAAUCCUGAAAGCAAAAUGUAUAAAUAUAUAUCUUUUAAGGCAGUAUAAGCUUCGAUUCCUAUUGCUGCUCUGUUAAAUCUCAUCUUUCGUUGUGGCCCAACACUCUAGUAUGCAUGUUGCACCAAGCUUCUUUGAGCCGCUCUGCCCUCUGAUUUUGCUGCGUAGGGGAAUCUUUAUCAGGUUGGGCUACUUCCAGUUGUGCGAUGUAAAGAUUCGUAUUUUCUAGAAGGUAGACAAAAAACUCGCGUUCUCUUAAGGCAACAACCGGAAGAUUCUGCAGCGCACAGGGCAUACCAUUAUUGUAGAAACGACCUUUAGUACCGAUCUCCAACCCCCUUUAAAACUGGUUUUGCAACCGGUACCGUUAUGUCGGUCCUUUAGUACCAGAUCAAAUAAGUACCGGUUGGUAACCAGUAUCAACUUGUUUUGCGGCCAAAAAAAUAAAGAAAAAAACAGUCAG
rnacentral:lncRNA from 1 species